AUCCUUAAGAAAUUCUAAAAAAAUAAAAAAAUAAUCACAAAUAUAUCUUAAAUAAAUCUCAAUCAAGUUCUAAUUUUAUUCUAAUUGAGAUCCUAAUUGAUUUCAAUCAAAUCCUAAAUAAAUCCUAAAUCCUAAAUCAAAUCUUAAACAAAACUUAUAUCCUAAAUCAAACUCUAGAAAAAUCAUAAAUUUUAAAUCAAAUCCUAAACAAACCUUAAACCUUAAAUCAAAUCCAAAAUAAAUCCUAAAUCUUAAACCAAACUCUAAAAAAAUUCUAAAUCCUAAAUCAAAUCCUAAACAAAUCCUAAAUCCUAAAUCAAACCAUGAGGCAGAUUAGAAUCUUUAUAUUUAUUGAUUAAAUUUUUAAACUUACUUAAAAAUUUAUAUAAUUUUUAAUUUUUUAGUUAAGAAAUAGUACAACAAAUUUAAAGAUAAUCGUACUUAUUAAAUAAAAGAAAACUCCUAAAAUCUGCUCGCACAUUGGCCGACCUCCUAUUCCAAUUUUAAUGUUGGACUUCCAGCACCAAUAUAUUUUUUUUCAAACCAUUCAAUUGUUUUUAAUUUUUUUUAUAUGAAGAAAAUCAAAUAUAUUAUCUUUAUAUAUAAAUUUCACUCCAAUCUAAUUAGUGGAUUGCUAAAGAUCUUAAAAACCCUAACUAUUCUUCAAAGUCUAAUUUUCAAGAUUUUAAUCUAUUUGAAAUUUAAUAACCUUUGAUUUGAUUGUUUGAUUAAGUUCAAACUUAUAGAAUUUACUUUAAAUGACUAUUUUCAUAAUUCUUUAAAAUUUGAACUAUAGAUCUACUACCAUACUCACAAAAUUCUCCAAAAUAUAAUAUUCUUUAUAUUUCACAAAUUUCAGAAUCAUCCAAAAAAACUAUGACUUUGCAAAGGUCUUCCAAAGUUAUUACAAGCUCAAAUCACUCAAAAUCAAUGCUCAAAGAAAUCCUAUGAAUUCUACUCUCAAAUUCUACUUUUUGAUAUGCCAAAGAAUCCCAAAAUUGCCAUAGGUACUUAGUUUUAUGCCUCAGGGUCUGAUUUUGAUCCAAGUUGAUAACUGGUCCUCUUUGGGUAUCAAAUUUUUUUCUUUUGAAUUGAUUUUUGCUAAAAUCAAUUUCUAACUUCUUCUUACAUUUACUCAUAUCUUUUAUUUUUCUAAUCUAUCUUAGUUUUUGUCUUAUUUAUGGCCUUAUAAAGUAAGUAGAAGCCUACUUUGUAAAAAGAUAGCAUUUAUACCUUUACUUUUACUUUCUUUUGAACUAUUGUCUAUUUUUUAAGAUAAUUUGCUACAAUAUUUGAAGUAAGAUCUUCUAUUAUAUAAUAAUUUCUUUACUUUUUUUACCUAUUAGUCUUGUUACAUCAAGAUACUAAAAUAUUUUCAUGUUUGAGUAAUAAAAUUAAUAUUGACUAUUGAUUCAACCUUUGUCAAGAAAAUUCAAUCAAUUAUGUCUUCUAAUUCUUUUAUUCAUGAUAUCAAGAAUAAUUCUUCUAAGUCUCAUAAUACUUCUAAAUUUGAGUUUAAAAAUAAUCUACUCUACUUCAAGCAACAAUCAUAUAUUCUAGAAGGCAAAGCACAAUUAUGUAUUUUUCAAGCUCAUCAUGACUUUCCAAUAGCCGAAACUUGGAUACAAUAAGACUUUAGAGCUAAUAUCAAGAGAUUUUUAAUAGCCUCAAAUAUAGAAGGCAGUUAAAGACUUUGUAAAAUUAUGUGAUAUUUGUUUAAUAUAUAAAAUUUCUUAUCAUUGAUUCUAUGGACUUCUUUAGCUAUUACCUAUUUUGAAACAACCACAAUUUUUUGUUACUAUGGAUUUUAUCAUAGAUCUUUCAAUCUCAGAUUUAUAUGAUUCUAAGUUUGUGAUAGUAGAUUAUUUUAUCAAGAUGGCACAUUUUGUAUCAUGUACAAAAUCUGUUAUAUGUAAAAAAAAUAUUCUAAGUUUUUUCUUGACAACAUCUAUUGCUAUUAUGGAUUACUCAAAGAUAUUGUAUGAGAUAAAAGAACUUAAUUUAUAUUAAGAUUUUAGAUAAUCCUUUUUAAGAUAUUAAAGGUGGAUAUAAAAUUCUCUUUGACUUUUCAUCCUCAAACUAAUGGACAAACGGAACGAUUGAAUCAAGUUUAGAGCAAUAUUUGAGGUAUAGCAUUAAUUAUCAUUAAGAUGAUUAGACAAAUUUUUUGUCAUUGGUAAAGUUUACAUACUUUAAUUUGGUACAUUCUUCUAAUAAAAAAACACAUUUCUUUGCCAAUUAUGGUUGUUAUCUAUGACUUAAUACUUUUGACUUUUCAAAAGUUGAUAAUCCUAUGGCAAAAGAUUUAAAAAAUUGUUUGUUAAAAAUACAUAUAACCAUGAAGGCAUAAUUAAAGAAAGCUUAAGAACAACAAAAGAUCAAUGCGGAUGCCUAUCAUGAGGAAUAACUACAAUUCAACAUGAGUGACUAAGUAUGGCUAUUUCAUUGCAAUAUCAAGACUACUUAUUAUGAUGACAAGUUGAACUAUUAUAGGCUUUGAUAUUUUUUUAUUAGUAAAUAAGUCAUUUUUCUUGCUUAUCAAUUAAAUCUAUCAAAAUCUAUGAAGAUCUAUUUUAUAUUUUAUGUAUCUUUUCUUAUGCCAUAUAAAACAAUGAAUAUUUUGGAAAGAAGACAAAUGCCACCUCCUAUUACAGAAGUGAAUUAUAAUUAAGAAUUUGAUAUAAACGAAGUCUUAGAUUCAAGGUAGUGCCAUAAAUGGAUUAAAAGAUCUUAUUCAUUGGCACAGAUAUGAUAUUAAUAAAUAUACAUAGAAGCCAAUAAAGAAUCAUACAAAUACAAUAAAGAAGAUUAAAAUUUUUUAUUGACAACAUCUAUCAAAACCAAGAUCAAGAAUAAUAAAUCUUUACUUGAGAAGAAAUAAGAUUCAAGAAAGAUAGCAUUCUACCUUCUACUCUUAUUUGUAACUUUUGUAUAUUUGUAAUGCUAAGGAGGUAGAGAACCAAUAACCAAUAGAUUCUACUCAAGAGCUCUCACUUGUUGACUUAGUAGAUGAGACAAUGUAAUUGUGACAGUCUUUAAGAAAACAUAAUCGAGAUGAAGAUCCUCAAGAACAACAUGUCUCUUAUAAAAUAGAUGAAAAGAUACAAUGUUAUUAUAUGGCAUGAUUUCAUAUUUAAAAAAAUACUAGGUACUUAGCUAUAGAGAGUUAAGUUUUAAUUUAUUGGCAAAAUUUCAAUAAGUGAUAUAUUUUUAUUAUAGAUGACAAAUAAAUACACCAAUAUCAAAAGAUAUUUUAUCAAUAAAAAUCUUUUUAUACUUAAGAAGAUUUAUAUAUAAGGCUCUUUAAAGCAUCUAAGAAUGUCCUAACAUCCUUUGUUAUACGAAGUCAUAACUUAUCAUUUGUUGGAAAGCUAGAUUUCUAAUAAGCUCAAAAAAAAUCCAUAAUCUUCUUUUAAAAGUCCAUCUUUAUAUCAUAAUUUUUUUAUAGCUCCUAAUCUCUAUUUUGUUUUAUAUAUAUAAAUUAUUCACUCUCAAAAACUUCUUUACCUUGUAUAAAAUAUCCAAAUUGUAGCAAGAUCCUUUUAAAACAAUUUUCUUCUACAAAGGAUUUUUUUCCUUGAAUUCUAGAAAUUCAUAUCUCUUAAUCCAACCAUUCAAUUUUUUAAAAUUUCUAGAUAUUAUAAAUAUUACCUUUGAACUUUAUUACAAAAAAAAUAAACCAUCAAUCUACUCCAGAUUGUUUUGCAUCUUAGAAAUCCUAGUAAGUACUUUAAAUCCUAAUUUAUAAGCACUCAAAUACUAUUUUUUUUAUAUUUCAAAAAUCCAAACUUCAAAUUCUAUAAAAUUUGUAUUUAAAGUUUAGUUACAUAAUAAUACAUAUUUUUAGAAGAUUUUAGUCAAAAUCUUGUCACAUUACUCAAGAUAUAGCUCAAAAUACAACCAUUAGUAAAUUGAGUCAUCUAUUUCCCUUAGAUUGUAAGCAUUGACUUCAACUCCCUAUAUCUCCUUUAUUCUAGCUUAGAUUUCAUCAAGAAAUAAUUGAAAAGUAUAGCCAAAAAAAUGACCUUUCUAAUUUCAGUCAUCAAUUCUUCAUUGCUUUCUAUAUGUGUGCAUUAUAUCCUAAAGAGUAAUAGUAGAUAAAAAAAUAAUCACCUUUACUUUGAAUGCCUUUAUUUCUUUUAUAAAAACUCUAAAUCACUCAAAAUUUGCACCAAAACCAUAUUUAAAAACCUACACUAUUUAAUCUUAGCUUUUUAAGUUCAAGCGGUCUCAAAAGAAUAAUUCUAAUCCCUAAUAAGGCCUCAAGCAACCUCCUUAAAGUCUAUUAGGUAUGAUUUUUGGCCUAUAAGAAUAGAGAUUUUUAUCAUCUAUCUCCAUUCAUCCAUAUGGUUGAUUUCACUACUUUUUUUAAUACAAAAAAUUUUUUCUAAUUUUUUUUUUAUAUAAUUUUUGUAUAAUAUGUGUUCUAAAUAUCAAAUAAAAGAAAUUAAAUAAGAUUUCAAGAGUCAUCAAUGUUUAAUAAAAGUAGCUCUAAAUAUAUAAAAACUAUUAUGAAUAUAAAAUCAAUCUCAAUUAUAGCUCAUUUAAACUAACUACUUCAUAGUAAUUUAAUCACAUUUUGUAAUCAACUAAAAUCUAAUAACAUAGCUUGUACUAAAUUUUAUAGUAAAUUAUAUAUAUAUAUAUAUAUAUAUAUAUAUAUCUAUAUAUAUAUGCAUUACAUUUCACAUAAUAGCCAAUCGACAAUACAACAAAGUAUUUGGUAUCUUGACCUUAGAAGAGACAUCUAAUAUUUGGUAAUUUUAUUAAAGAUAAGAAUGAUUCUUGACAAUGUUUCAAAUAUUUUAUUUAAAGAGAGUUACAAAGGCCUCAAUAGUGAUCAAAUAAUAAGGUGGUCUUCUUGGUAUAGGAUACUAUUAAUGACUAAAAAGACCUAUUGACCAUCUUCAAAGAGAGCAAAGAUCAAAAUAUGUGACAAACACAUUUCAUUACAUCUUGAAUUUUCUCAAUAUAUGAUGACCACUCCUCAUAGAACUUGUUUCUAAAAGAGGAGGUAAUGUCAUGGAUAUACAUAUUUAUUCUAAUAUUUACCUACAUGAUUAAAUAAUAGUAAAUAAAAGUAGAUUUAUUUUAUACUAUUUUUUAUAGAUGAUUUGUAGAAGCUUCAUAGAUAUUAUUUUGAUUUUACAUGUAUUUAUAGUUGAUUGGUAGGUUAGAAACUUAGUCAAUAAGUAAAUCACAUGUUGAUAGCUUAUAAAACAAGCUAAUUAUGUGGCGCACAUGUAAAAAACUUGUCUUACAAGUUAAAAUAUAUAUCUUACAAAGUCAACAUAUUUUGGAGGUCUUGUAGGACAUUGCCACAUAGCUUCUACUUAAGAAUAUAUAUGGAAGCAAGAGUGAAGCCUUAUUUACUCUUAUCAAUAUCUUUUUAGUAUUUAGUCUUGUUUCAAGACUUUCUAGUCUUCUUAUCUUUCACAAUAGCCAUUCUAAUUUAAUACUAUAUCAUCUUCAAGUAGUUUUUUAGUCUUUUUGAGUGGCAUAAGAGAGUAUUGAUAUUUUAGUUCUUUUGAGGUUCAUGUCCUUAAUAUUGUGCUUUAUCAUUUUGAAUAUAUAAACAUCUUUAAAAAAAAGUAGAUUAUUUUUGAAUUAAAAAUUUAAAGUAUUUUAAGACUUAAAAAAAAUAUUCUUAAUUUCAUGAAUAUGAAGAUCAAAAAACAUACUUGAUUGAACUUCCUAGAGAGAGGUUAAAUUAACAAUUAAUAUUGAUUUUAUUGUUUAAUGAUAGAAAUGCUCUAAUUUCAAGAGAAUCAUUUUUUGUUGAUCAAAAGAUACAUUUCUUUCUCUUCCAACAAGAUUAGAACAUCUAAAAAGGAUGUUUAAUAAAUCUAAUAUUUUUUUGGAUCAAUAAGUGAUCUUGAAAUUAAAUCUUAAUACAAACAUGCUUCAACAAAUUUGGCAAUAAUUUGAAAUAUUUUGUCAUAAAAUACUUGAGAUUCUUGUGAUUUAUAUAUAUAGUGAUAAAAAUAGGAGCACCUUUUAGAUAAUGAUGCUAUUUUUUAAAUGAAUCUAUAAUUAUAAGAUAUUUUUUGUUGUGGAUCUCUCACUUAUUCUAACUGUUGAAAAAAAUUGGAAUAAAAAGCUACCAAGUAGAGCUUGACAUUUACUUCUAUUUACAAUAAAAUGGCAUCUAUAACAAAAUUUAAUUUGUUUGUUUCAAAGUUUUGUUCUUUGAUUUUUUUGUUUCAAAAUAUUUUUUAAAUCCUAAAUCAAAUUGUAAAUAAAUCCAUGAUUUGUUUGUUUCAAAGAAUUAAGAUUUUAUUGUUGCAAUUUCCAUUUUAACUUUGACAACAAAGUGCUUGAUCUAUUCUUAAGGAAGUCUUUACAUAAUAUGAUACCAACUUCAAGAGCAUUAUUUUUUGUUCAUUAAAAGAUGUAUCUCUUUCUUUUGAUGCGACAUAAGAACAUCUAAAAAAAAACAUUCAAUGAAACUUGUUGUUUUUUAAAUCUAUAGGUGAUCUUGAAAUCAAUUCUUCAUAAAGAUAUAUUUCAAUGUGCUUAGAGAUGAUUCAAAAUACAUGCUGACAUGAAAACUCGAGGUUCUUGUGAUCUAUAUACAUAAUAAUUAGACUAGAAGUACCUUUUAGAUAAUGAUACUAUUCUUGAAAUUGAUCCACAAUUGUAAGAAGCUCUUUAUCAUGGAUCUUGUAAUUAAUCUCAAUUCUUAAAAAUUUCCUAGAAUAAAAAACAAUCAGAUUGAGUUUAUCAUCUACUUUGAUUUGUAAUAGAACAACAUCUAUAGCAAAGUCUCAUGCAUCUAUUUCCAAGAAGAAUGUAUUAAAAAAAUCAAUGAAAUAUAAAAUUGGUACAAAAAUAAACCUCAAAAGAUGCUUUUGCUUCUUUGUUCUACUCAAGUUUGUCUUUACAUGUUAGAAGUGUAAGAGAAGCCUUAACUUCAGGAAAGUUUUUGAUGAAGAUUCAAUAACAAUUGAUAAAUCUCAAAAAAUAUUGCAUAUCUUUAAUUUAUUUUUUGACCUUUCAAUCCAUGAUAGUUUGGAAAUUUUUAAGAUUCAUCGUUAAUUCUUUGUUGGAAAUAAUGUACCUUGCAAAAUCAACCUCAAUAAUAUGGAAUAUACACAUUUUUAUCUUAGCAUAUAAUCUUGUAUCUCUAAGUUUUUGUAACACAAGCCAAACAUGAAGUUCAUGUUUUUUUUUUGUAUUUUUAGAGUAGAUUUGAAUGUCAUCCAAAUAACAAACAACAAAAUCAUUAAAAAAUUCACAAAAGACAUUAUUCAUGAGAUGUUAAGAACCAGCUAGUACAUUUGUGAAUCCAAAAGAUAUGACAUUAUAUUCAAAAUGUCCAUAUCUAAUUUGAAAAGCAGUCUUCCACUGAUGAAUGGACCAAAAUGUAUUUUCUUUAUAGAUUUAUUUUUGUAUAGAUCUUUGCUUGAUUGAAUUGGUUAAGAAGUUAUAAAAUCAAAGAUAGAUAAUAUUUAUUUUUGAUGGUGAUCUUGUUAAAUCCUUGAUAGUCUAUGCACAUCCAUAGAGAUCAAUUUUUUUCUUCAUAAAUAAGAUACAAGCUUCUACUAGAGAUUUUAAAUGGCAUAUAAAAUUUUUAGCCAAGUUCUUAUCAAUAUACUCCAUUAGUGCAGCUAAUUCAUUUUGUAAUAAGUUGUAGAUUAAUUAAAAUGGUAAUUGAGCUCCUUCUUGUAGUUCAAUUGUAUAAUCAUAGGAUCAAUGAUCUGGAAGAAUAUUUACAUUUCUUUUUAAAAAAAUAUCCUAAAAAUCUUAAUAUUGGUUAUAAAUAUUAUUUAAUAUCUUUUCACCAUCAAAAAUAGGUGUGGCAUGUAUAACAAAAGACGGCCCUUCUUUUGCUAUAUGCGUAAAAAUACUUGCACCUACUGAUAAAGGUUUGGAUAUAUUAGCUUUAUGUAUUUUUAUUUCACAAUUGAAAUUUUGGAUUAAAUUACAUGAAAAAUUAAGGUUACAAAAAAUCUAAUUUAUUUGAAGAUUAAAUUUUUUUAACCAUGAUAAUCCUAAAUUAUUAGAUUAAAAAAAUCUUAUGAUAUUAAAUAUUAGUACACUAUUAUGAUCUUUAUUUGCUACAUUUAAAAGAAUAAUCUCAUGAAUAACAUCUUUAGAAGAUAAAAAAUGAUCACCUACAACUUUUACAUGUAUGGAUUUAGUUUUCUUGAUUAAAAAUAUUUCUUGUUUCUUAAUAAAGUCUUUAAUUAUAAAAUAAGUUGAGGCUUUUGAAUCUAAUAAUUCAAAGACUUUGUGAAUUUUAGAUCCUAAAUAUAUAUCUAUUGUAAAAGAAGUUAAGGGAUGUAAAGAGAGAAUAGAACCUUCAGUAGAUGUUGCAUAUGAUUUUAGCCAUACAAUUCCUAUUAUAGUUGGAUUUUUUUUUUUCUAGGAAUUGUAUUCAUUAUUUUGUAAUUGUGUUGCUUCUUUGGAUAAUGUGAAGUAAUAUAUUUAGCUUUUCUACAAUAUAAGCACAAAUAUUUUUUAUAACAUCAAAUCUUUUCUUGCUCAAUGAAGGAUUUAAAAUGUAUCAUAUUAAUUUGUAUUGGUUUUAGCCUUAAUAAAUAAUUUUUAUGAAAGCUUGGGAAUCAUUGUUAUUACUUGGCUCAUUCUUUUCUAACAAAGACUUUAUUCUUGAUGCCUUUUAAAUAAUAAAUUUUUACAUGCAAUAGCUUGAACAAUAAAUUGUUCUAAAGAUUCUACUUUUAACAUUGUAAAUAAAAAAUCUUUGAUGUUAUUCUUCAAUCCAUAUCAAAAUUGAUUGAUAAGGGCUUUAUCAUUCUUUUAUAAGUCACAAGCAAGGUUUUGAAAUUUAGCAGCAUAUAUGGUCGUUGAUUGUGUACCUUGUUAUGAAAAUAAGAGCUUGAUAUUUGCUACUCUUUCUCAAUCACUUUCUUCAAAUGUGGUUGCAAACACUUCUAUGAAUGACUUCAAAUUAUAAAGGAGUCAUGAAUCCUUUUCCAUCAAAGGUGCAAAUUAAAAGAGAUCACUACCAAAUAGAAGUGCAUCUAUGAAUACAACUUGAAUAAAUCCAUCAAGGUAUUAAAAAAGAUGCAACCUCAGAUAGAGCUUGAUUUAUUGCAAAAAUCUUUGAAAUUUCAAUCUUAUUCCAACAAACUUAUAGGGCAUAUUAAUUCAUGUUCUGUCAUACUUAUAGCAACAAAAUAUCUUAGAUUUAGUUGUAAAGUUAAUAUACUUAUUUCUUUCAACUAUAUAAUAUCUUAUUAUAGAUUCUAAACUUCUUUUAUAGGCAUAGGAUUAGUAUUUCUAUCAUUUUCACUUAAAAUAUAUAAUAUUUCUACUCUUAAAAUAUUCAUAAAUUUAUAAAUAUUUGCAAUAGUCUCAAAUCUUUUCUUGUUUCCAUCAAACGAAGCAUCUAUUAUUUUUUCUUUUAUUUUAAAUAAUUUAAAAAAUCUAUAAGUCAAAUUAGAAGAAGGUAAUCUACAAUCUCUAAUAUCAAAUGAAAAUUUCUAUAAGGAGUGAUAAUUUGCUCUCUUUAAGAAAAAAAAAUCAGUGUUAAAAAACUAAAUAAUUAGUUUAAAAGUAGAUAAUCUAUAACAUUAAAAAUAUAAAACAUAAGUGGGAUAAUCCACUUAUUUAAAAAAAAAUAAGAAAAAUGAGUUAGGAUUCUUGUCAAACUAUCAAAGACAUGAAAAAAAAAAAAAAAAAAAAAAAAAAAAAAAACUCAAUACUCUUACAUCACUCAAAAAGACUAUAAAAUCACUCAAAGAUGAUAUAGUAUUAAACUAGAAUAGCUAUCACCAAGGACAAGAAGAAUAGAAAUUCUUGAAAUAAAAUUAAGGAUUAGAAAGGCUUUGGCAAGAGUGAAGAAGGCUUCAUUCUUGUCUCUAUAUAUAUUCUUAACUAGGAGCUACGUGGUGGUAUCUCAAAGGACUUCCAAAAUAUGUUGACUUUGUAAGACUUGUAUCUUAAUUUGCAAGGUGGAUUUUUUAUAUGUACGCCAUAUAAUUAACUUAUUUUACAACCUAUCAAUACUUGGUUAACUUGUUGACCAAAUUUCUAACCUAUCAAUCAACUACAAACACAUGUAAAGUCAAAGCAAUGUCUAUGAAGCUUCUAAGAAGCAUUUUUAGAAAAUAUUAUGAAAUAAAUCUACUUUCACCUACUAUUACUUAAUUAUGUAGCUAAGUAUUAAAAUAAAUAUAUAUACCUAUUUUCAUAUUAGAUGUUAUCAUGUUUGGAAAUGCACUAAGCAUUUGGCUGUGGAAGGUGGAAUUUUAUUUUUAAGUAUUCAAGAAUUUUAAUAUAUAUCAUCUUUAUAAAAAAAUAAAAUUUUAAUUUUAAUUCAAAAGUAUUUAAUUCCAAUACAAAGUUCUCAAAAAUCCUCUUCUUAGUAAUUUUAACUAUAUAUAAAUUCUAUUUGUCUUAUUACUUUUAAAAUUAGGUAAUUUUGAAUUUUCUUUGUAAACCUUAACCCUAAUUAUUAAGCUCAAGUGAGCUGUAGCUCUUAAUCUAAUUGUUUACUUAGAGCAAAAUUUUGUAUACAAAUGCUACUAUAAGUCUUCUAUAUCUUUAAAAGAAUUCACUUCAAUCCAACUUACAAAUCGUGAGAAAAUGCUUGAAAACCAUACUAAUAUUACUUGGCUGCCAACUUAAAAGUUGAUGCAAAUAUUUCAGCAGUGAUUUCUCUUUAUUCAACCAUUAACUUCAAUUCAAAAUUGGUGUGUAGCUUAAUCUACAAGUCUUCUAAUACUAUGCUAAAUUUCAUCUUGAUCCAACUUGUAGAUCUUUAGAUAUCAUAGAAACCCUACCCAAUCCCAAAUUGCCAACUUCUGGUAUCUUCUUGUACCAAAAUCCACAUAUCUUCUAAUUUCACCAUUGGACUAUGACAAAAUUUCACAUAAAUUUAGUAAACCUAAUAAAUCAAGCAUUAUCAAAUUUUGAAAUGUAGAUGUGAUAUUAGUUUUAUGAACUAGCCAAGAGUGCUAGCCCUAAUUGUAUUGUAUAAAUCUCAAGUUGCCAAUACAAAUCCUAACUUUGAAGAACAAUUGCUAAGUCCAAUCAAAUCCUAGAAAAAUAAGCUUUAUGUUUUUAGAACAAGUUUUAAACUGACUUUCCAAUCCUAACUACCGAUUUUCAAAUAGAAUCCUAUUUUAUCCUAGAUCAUCAUUUUUGUGGCUAGAGGUCUGAUUUUAACCAUAUCUCACAAAUGAUCGACCUCGGGGUAUCAAUCUAAUCUAUCCUAGGGAUUUUUUAGCCCAAUUCUAUCUUCAACUUAAUCUAAGUAUCAACCAUGCUAGUUAUUUACCUCUUAUAAUCUAAUUUUACUAAUUUAUGGUCUUUCUAAAGCAAUGAAAGAGUCUCUACAAUCUAAAAGGUAAAAUUGCUAAUGAACCUUUAUUGACCUUCUAUCCUUGUUUUUAAUUUUUGUAUAGUGUGGUGCUAAGAAAAUAAAGAACCAUAAUCUAAUAAAUUCAAAUCAAGAGCUAUUAUUUGCUGGUUUAUUGGACAAGACAUUGCUAUCAUGUCAACCUUCAAGACAAUAUAUUCAAGAUGAAGACCUUGAAGAAUGACAUUUUUUUCUUAAAUAGAUGGCAAGUUACAAUGUAUUUGGUAUCACAAUAUUAGAAGAGACUUCUGAUAUUGGUGAUUUUUUUGGAGGUAAGAACAAUUCUUGAUGGUUUGACAAAUGCUUUAUUUGAAAAAAGUUAUGAAGGCCUUAACAAUGAUCAAAUAAUAAGAUAGUCUUUUGCAAUAGAAUGGAACAUUAUUAGUGGUUGAGAGGACAUAUUAAUUAUCUUCAAAAAAAAUAAAGAUCAUAAUAUAUGUGAAAUACAAUUUUUUGUAUCUUAAACUUCCUCAAUAUAUAAUCACAACUAUUCAUGGAACUUGUUUUUAGAAAAGAGGUUAAUAUCAUGAACAUACAUAUUUAUUCUAAUAUUUAUUUAGAUAUUAUGAAUAGAUAAAAAUAGGUUAAUUUGAUAAUAUCUUAUAGAAAAGCUUUUUAAAAGCUACAUACAUGUGGUUUCAUCUUUGUAUGUGUUUACAAGUGAUUAAUAGAUUAGAAACUUUGCCAAAAAAUUAGCAACAUGUUGCACAUGUUAGUAGCUUGUAGUACAAGCUAAUGAUAAGGUGUACAUAUAGAAAAGUUAUCUUGUAAGUUAAAACAUGUGACUUGCAAAUUAUACAUAUUACAAGUCUUAUAGAAUGUUGUCACAUAGCUUUUAUUUAGAUAGUAUAUAUAGAGGCAAAAAUAAAGUUUUUUUUUUUUUUAUUCUUAUUAAUAUUUUUUUAGUCCUUAGUCUUAUUUUAAGAUUUUAUUAUCUUUUAACUUUGAAAAUAGUCAUUUUAAUUUAAAAAUAUACCAUCUUUGAGUGAUUUUUUAGCCUUUUUAAUUGAUACAAGAGUUUAUUGAUUUUUUAGUUUUUUGAGAUUCAUGUCUUUAAUAUACCAUUAAGUAAUCUUUUGUCAAAGAUUGAAUAUAAAGAUUCUUUAUAAAUCCAUUCAAUAUUUGAUUGGAAAUAAUAAAUACUUUUAUAUAUAGAUCCUAAGUAUGUAAUAUGUUUUACAAAGCUUCUAUUAUUUUGCACUCUAAUCUAUUAAAUUUUGAAAUCUCUUUGGUGGCUUUUUAUAAUUAAUUUUUAUAAAUUUUAGUAGAUUUUAAUAAUAUUAAUUCAACUUUUAUUACAUACUUAUUAUUUUAUGCAAUUUAUAGAUUAAAAAUGCAUAGCUAACUAUACUUUGGAAUUAUAAGUCAAGUACGGCCAUAGAGCUAGAUAUGGUUAUAAUUUUGUCUAUUAAGUAUUGUUUAGUUCCAUUCAAGAUAUCUACUUUCAAAUCAAAAACUAGACAUUGAUGCUUUACUAUAACUUAGAUAUAAAUAGACUAUAAUUUAUUCCAUACUAAAUAGAUACAUUCUUGUACAAUACUAAAAUGGUUUAAAAACUUCUUAAUGGAUAUCUUUAAGUUCAAUUGUUGCUUCAUCAUGACAUAUAAUAUAUUUCAUUAGAUCAUAGAAUCCAAAGUAAAAGAUUUAAGUUCAAUGUCUUUAUAUACUUUAGUGAUGGUAUAAAAGAAAUUAUAACAAAUAUUUCUUACUUGCAUAAAUCUAUUCAAGUCUUGAAAUUUGAUCACAUUGACUAUUAUAAUAUUCAAAAUGGUCUUUAUGGCAAUUUAAAAAAUACAAAUAAAAUAACAAAUGACAUCUUUGUAGAAUAAUACAAUUAAACUUAGAUAAUAGUAUGUCAUUAAGGUUUCUUGAAACUUGAAUAAUAUCAAAAUUGCUAUUAAAUACCAUAGUAAGUAAUUUAUAGAUAAUUUAAAGGCAUAUCAAAAAAUGAAGAAUUUUUUAGGAAAAUCACUACAAAAACAAUUACAUGUAGCAACAUAAAAUAAAUUAACAAUGCAAUGCUUCAUGAAAGUUGUUUCUUCAUCAAAUUAGUAUAAUUUAAAUGAAUAGAAUUUAUUAAAAAUAUCAUUGAACUAAUAAUAAAAUAUAAUAUUAAACUUGAUGCUAAUAGUUGUAAGUAAAGAUUCAAAAAUGUCUUUUGUCACUAUGAACAACUUAUUGAUUUAGAUAGAUAUUAAGAUUAUUGAAUUAAAAUAUAUUCUAAUUUUAUUUAUUUUAUGACAAUGUUCUUGAAGCUUGUUAAUUUUAAAUAAAAAUAAGAAAAACCUUUAUGAAUAAUUUAGAUUACGAUGUGAAUAUCUAUAUCACAAAUAUGUACAAUUAUCUCAAUAGUUACUUAUAUGAUUAGGUAGAAAUAGAUAAAUAUAAAUUAAUUUUAUAAAAUCUUUUAGAAAAGCUUCUAAGAAGCUUUAUAGACAUGAUUUUGACUUUAGAUGUAUUUUUAAGAUAGAAACCUGACCAACAAGUUAAUCAUGUGUUGGUAGCUUGUGGAAUAAGUUAACUCCAUGUGGUAGCUUGUAGAGAAGCUAAUUAUGUCACACCGACAUAAAUAACUUGCCUUGUAAAUUAAGACAUGUGGCUAGCAAACUCAAUACAUAUUGGAGGUUCUAUAGAAUAUCACCAUAUAGCUCUUAGUUAAAGAGUAUAUACGGACGCAAAAGUGAAGCCUUCUUUAUUCUUAUCAACACCAUUCUAGUCCGUAGUCUUAUUUCAAGACUUUCUAGUUUUCUUAUUUUUUACAAUAGCCAUUCUAAUUCAAUAUUAUAUCAUCUUUGAGUGACUUUUUAGUUCUUUUCAGUAAUACAAGAAUGUAUUGAGGAUUUUCUUUCUUCAAGGUUCAUAUCUUAAAAAAUUUGAUAAGAAUGCUAACAUAGUGUUUUUGUCUUGUUUUAGAAGUGAGUGAAUUAACUCACUUUUAUUGUUGUACUUUGAAGGUUGCAAACUAUCCACCUUUAAAAAAAAAAUCUUAUUUUCUAACACUAAUCUUUUUCUUAAAGAGAGUGGAUUACUCCUCUUUGUAGAAAUUUUCAUUAAAGAUUAUGGAUUAUCCUCUUCUAAUUUAACUUUUUAAAUUUAUUUGAGUUGUUUAUAAAAGAAAAAAUUAUGGAUACUAUUUUCAACAUAAGUAAAAAUAAAUUUGUAACUAUUACAAAUCUUUAUAAGCUUAUCAAUAUUCUAAAAAAAGAAAUCUCAUAUAUUUCUAAUGUGAAUCAUGGAAGUACUAUAUCUACAAAUAUUGAAGAAGUUCAAAGUUUGCGAUAAGAAGUUGUAUAGUUCAAAGAAGCAAGUAGAUCGACCUCACAACCAAAUCCUACAAGUUUUGCUUCUAUAAGCAUGAUGGAGAUUAGGAUUAGUAUCCUGAGAAGUUUGAUGGAAGUACAAAAUUUCACAGAUUUUUGCAAGUUAAGCUCUAUCUAAGGUUACACUCUUUUCAAUACCACAAUGGAUUUACUCAAGUCUGAUUCAUAGGUGCACUUCUAUCAAAAAGUACUCUCCUUUGGUUUGCAUCUUUAAUAGAAAAAUAUUUUCAACUCUUUUAUGAUUUGAAUUCAUUUUUAUAAGUAUUUAUAGGCAUAUUCAAAGAAAGUGAUCAAAAAAGACCAAGCUCUUACUUUUACGGUAAGAAUCACAAUCAACCACCAUGUAUACUAUUGAAUGCCAAAACCUUGCAUGCAACAUGGAGUAGAAUAACAAAGCCCUUAUCAAUCAAUUUUGAUAUGAAUUAAAAGAUAAUAUCAAAGACUUGUUAUUAACAAUAUCAAAGAUAGAAUCUUUGAAACAAUUUAUUGCUCAAGCCAUUGCAUAUAACAAUUGAUUAUUUGAAAGAUAUCAAGAACAAAGAUGUGGCUAAAGAGGAACAAAUCAAAUAAUGAUGGCAAUUUCUAAGUUUUCAAAAACUUAUUUAUCAAAGUCAAAAUCAAUGCAAAUUGAUAUGAUAUGUUUUUAAUCCUUUACAAAGUAGGAAAAUAAUCAAUAAUGUUAAGAAGGCUUAUGCUAAAGAUAGGCUAAAUAUAUUAUUCAAUAUUAUCCAAAGAAACAACAUAAUUAUUAAAUAAAAAGUACAAUUGUAAAAGAAGACAAUGUAUCAGAAAACAACUUACUCUAGGUACAAAAGAAAUCAUGCAGCUGAAAUCAUGUGCAACAUCUAGUAAAGGUCCUAUUUUUUCUUCUGAUCUCUCACCUUAUUUUACAAUAGAAGUCUAUUUAGGACCCAAAAAUCACAAAGUUUUAGCUUUAUUGGACUUAAGAUCUUCAACUUGUUUUAUAGAUGAAGAUUUUGUCAAAAAAUAAGAUAUAUCUUUAGUUAAGAAAAUCAAAUUUGUACAUGUAGAAGUAAUACAAGGAUGUUCAUUAUCUUCUCAAGAUGUUAAACAUGAAACUAUUCAUGUAGAAGUAGCAACCAAUGGUCACAAUAGUUUAGUAAUAUUUAAUAUGAUUAAAUCUCCUUUUAAUCCAAUCAUUUUAGGAUUAUCAUGGUUAAAAAGAUAUAACCCUUAGAUAGAUUGGAUUUCUUGUAAUCUUUAUUUCUUCCAUAGUUUAACUUAAGGUCUUACUAGGCAAGUAGAAAUUUAUAAGUCUAGUACAUCCAAACCUUUAUUGGUAGGUGCAAAAGCUUUCAGGCAUGCUACAAAUGAAGGGCCAUCUUUUGCUAUAUAUGCCUCGCCUAUUGUUGAUGGUGAGAAGAUAUCAAGUGGUAUUCCUAGCCAUUUUUAAGAUUUCUAUGAUAUUUUUAAAAAGAAGAAUAUAAAUAUUCUUUCAAAGCAUUGUCCUUAUGAUUGUAUCAUCUAUCUUCAAGAAAGAACUCAACCACCAUUUGGACAAAUCUAUAACCUAUCUUAAAAUGAGUUAGUUACAUUCAAAGAGUACAUUGAUGAGAACUUGGCUAAGAAUUUUAUAUGACAUUAUAAAUCUCCAACCGACACUCCUAUCUUAUUUGUGAAGAAAAAAGAUGGAUCUCUAUGGAUGUGUGUGGAUUAUCGAGGACUUAACAAGAUCACCACUAAGAUUAGGUAUCUUCUACCUUUGAUUUCAGGACUUCUUGAUCAACCAAAUCAAACAAAGAUCUAUAUGAAAAUAGAUCUAAGAGGAGCAUAUAAUUUGAUUUGUAUCAAAGAAGGAGAUGAAUGGAAGACUGUUUUUUUAACUAGAUAUGGAUAUUUUGAAUAUAAUGUCAUAUUUUGGACUCACGAAUGCACUAGCUAUUUUUUAUCAUUUAUUGUGAAUAGUACAAAGAUCUAUAUUAUUAUCUUUCACCAUAUAAUUAUAUUAUAAUGACUUUGGAUAUAUAUAAUAAAAGAUAAUAAUAUAGAUCUUAUAAUAAAAGAGCGAAGUUAAAAGAUAAAAUAAAAAAUAUGAAUAAAAGAUAGAAAGAUAUUAAAACUUUUAAUAAUAAUACUGACUUUUUAGAAAAGUAGCUUCUAUUUUGUAGGGCCAUAAAUAAGGCAAAAUAAGAUAGAUUAGAAAAAUAAAAGAUAUAGGUAUAUGUAGGAAGCAGUGAGGAGUUGGUUUUAGCAAAAUUUACCUCAAAAGGAACAAAAAUUGAUAUCCAAAGAAGACCGAUUAUCAACUAGGGUUGAAAUCAAACUGUGAGGCACAAAACCAAGCCUCGACAAUGAUUUUGGAAUUCUUUGGUUGCUCAGAGAAUGGAUUUAAAGAUUAGACUUGAAAAGAUUUCUAUAGGCAUUAAUUUUGAAGGUUUUGGAUGGAUAAUGACUUUGUAAGAACUUUGCAAAGUCAAUGUUGUUUUUAGUGACUUUAAUUUUUAGAAAAUAAAAUAGGAUUGAUGUUUUGGAUAAUUUCAAGAAUUUAGUGAUAGAACCAUAGGUGAAAUUUUUUAGAUUUGUAGAUAUAGUUGUAUUUGAUAUGUGUUGUAAAUUUGGAUUUGAUUGAAUAGUUAGAUUGAAAACCAUAAAGUUUUUUGUGGGUUAUGGUCUCAAAAUUUAGGGUUUUGAGGACUAGUGAGAUUUUUUUAGAUAUCUAUCAAUGUGUCAAUUAGAUUGAAGCAAAUUAUUUUUAUAAAAGUAGUCAACUUGAUUUCCAACAAGCUUGUAAAGUUUGAAAUGGCACCAUUAUCUAGAAUGCACUCUUAGUCUAGUCAUUGACUAUAUAGAUCAUAAAAAUCUUGAAUAUUUUAUGUCAACAUGUUUUUUAAAUCAUUGUUAAGCCUACUUAAACAUGUCUUUUUUAAGAUUUGAAUUCAAGAUCACUCAUCGACUAAGAAAACAAUAAGAUUUGUUAAAUGUACUCUCUAAAAAAUCUUAUCUUAUACUAAAGGAAGAAGUUAGUACUUUUGAUCAACAAUAGAAAAUUCUCUUAAAGCUAGAGCAUUUUUAUUUUCAAGCAAUGAAAUCAAUACUAAUUGUUGAUUCAACUUUCAUUAAGCAAAUUCAAUCAAGUAUGUCUUUUGAUCUUCUUAUUUGUGAUAUUAUAGGAAAUCCUUCAAAGUCUUAUCAUACUUCUAAGUUUGAAUUUUAAAAAAAUCUAUUAUAUUUUUAGGAGUAAUUAUAUGUUCUAAAAGGUGAAAUCCAAUUACGUAUUUUUUAAGUCCAUCAUAACUUUCCAACAAUAGAACAUUUUUGAUACAAUAAGACUUUAGAAAUAAUAUCUAAGGAAUUUUAGUGGCUCCAAAUGUAGAAGGUGGUCAAAGAUUUUGUACAAUCUUGUGAUGUUUGUUUAAAAAUAAAAACUCUUCAUUAUUGACCUUAUUGUCUUCUUUAACUAUUAUCCAUUUCAAAACAACCAUAGUCUUUUAUUUCUAUGGAUUUUAUUAUGGAUCUUUCAAUCUCAAAUUCUUAUAAUUUUAUAUUUGUGAUAAUAGAUUGUUUUAUCAAGAUGGCAUAUUUUGUACUUUAGAAAAUACUUUUUAAGAUUUUAAAAAUAGACAUAAAUCUAUCUUCAACUUUUUAUCUUUAAAUUAAUGGACAAACAAAGCAUAUAAAUCAAGUUUUAGAGCAAUAUUUGAGGAGUACCAUCAAUUACUAAUAAGAUGAUUAGAUAAUUCUUUUGCUAUUGGAAAAGUUUGUUUAUAAUAAAAUGGUAUAUUCUUCUAUGUAAUAAAUAUUUUUUGUUGCUAAUUACAAUUAUCAUCCAUGACUUGAUACUUUUGACUUUUCAAAAGUUGGUAAGUUUAUGUCAAAAGAUUCGAAAAAUAAUUUAUUUAAGCUACAUGCAAUAAUAAAGGUGUAACUAAAAGAGGCUCAAAAACAAUAAAAGAGAAAUGCAAUUACCAAUUGCAAGGAUUAAGAUAAUUUCCAUGUUAAUAAUAAGAUAUGAUUACUUUGUAGUAAUAUUAAAACUAUUUGUUUUAAAAACAAGUUGGAUUAUUAUAGACUUCAACCAUUUUUUAUUUUUCAACAAGUUAAUUCAAUUGCUUAUUGAUUACAUCUAUCAGAAUCUAUGAAAAUUCAUCAUGUAUUUUACAUAUCUCUUUUGGAUCCAUAUAAGAUAGUGAAUAUCUUGAAAAGAAGACAAAUAUCACUGCCUCUUAUAAAAAUGGAUAAUAAUGAAGAAUUUAAUAUAGAAGAAGUCUUAGACUUAAGGUAACAUCGAUCUAGGUUGAAAUAUCUUAUUUAUUGGUAUAAAUAUAAUAUUAGCAAAUAUACAUGGAAGCCGGUAAAAAAAAAACCUUACAAAUAAAAUAGAGAAUGUCAAAAAAUUUCAUCAAUGACAUCCAUCAAAACCAAGAUAAAGAAUAGCAAAUUUUUGCUAUAAAAGAAACACAAUUUAGAAAAAAAUACAUUCUACCUUCUAUCCUUAUUUUUAGUUUGUAUAUAAUUAUGGCAUUAAGAAGAUAGAGAAUUAAUAGCUAGUAGAUUCAACUAAAGAACUAUCAUAUGUUGACUUAUCGGAUGAGAUAUUAGAAUUAUCAUUACGUUUAAGAUGACAUAAUAAAAAUGAUCUUUAAAAAAUAAAAUAUUCUUCCUUAAAUAGAUGGCGAGAUACAAUGUGUUUGAUAUCAUAACAUAAAAAGGAAGUUUCAAUGUUUGGUGAUUUUAUUCAAGGUAAGAAUGACUCCUAGUGGUAUUAAAAAUAUUUUAUUUGAAAGAAGUUAUGAAGGUCUCAAUAAUAAUCAAAUAAGAAGGUGGUCUUCUUACCCUAAAAUAGAACAUUAUUGAUAGCUAAGAAGAUCAAUCAAUCACCUUCAAAAGAAACAAAGAUCAAAGUACAUGGUAAAUAUAAUUUGUCGCACCUUAUAUUUCUUCAACAUGUGAUCACUACUCUUUGUAGAACUUCUCUCUAGAAGAAGGGAUAAUUUUGUAGACAUGUAUUUAUUAUAAUUAUUAUUUAAAUAAUAUGAAUAAAUAAAAAUAAAUAAAAAUAGAUUAAUUUCAUAAUAUUUUUUUAAAAAGCUUCUUAAAAGCUUUAUAGAUGAUAUUUUGACUUUACAUAUAUUUUUAGUUGAUUAGUAGGUUAGAAACUUAGUCAAUAAGUUAAUUACAUGCCACACAUAAUAGUAGCUUAUAGAAUAAGCUAAUUAUGUGGCAUUUAUAUAGAAAACUUGCCUUGCAAGUUAAGGUAUGUAUUGUACAAAGUUAACAUGUUUUGAAGGACCUAUAGAACAUCGCCACAUAGCUCCUGAAUAGAUAGUAUUUAUAAAAGCAAGAGUGAAGCCUUCUUCACUCUUGUUAAUUCCUUUCUUGUUUCUAGUUUAGUUUCAAGAGUCUCUAGUUUCUUUGUCUUUUUGUAAUAGCCAUUUGAAUUUCUUUUUUUAGUAUAUAUACUUUUCUAUUUUUAUUUUUUUAUACUUUUUUGAAAAAAAUUUACUUUUUUUUAUUUACUUUCAUCAAAUCUAUGUCCUUGACAAUACAAAUAUGACAUCAAAAUCUCACUUUGUUCUAAAUUAUUGACUUUGGUAGUAGAUAAUAAUAAUAGUAUCUAAGAUAGAAAUAUAUUUGUUAUUAAGCUCUUGCUAUUUUGCUACCCACAUCCAUAUCCAUUUCUAAGGAAUAUUAUAUUACAUGCAACAUGUACUACCAUGUUUUUGAAAUGGUCUAUUAUGGCGUAAAGAACCAAUAUACUUAUUAAAAAAUAUAAAUCUUAUUUUACAUGAUCUAGUGAAAAAAUUGGAGAACCAAUUUUUUACUCCUUGCAUACUACUUAUCAUGGUACUUAUAAAUAUAGUAUAAACACUUCAAGUGACUUUCAAAAUGAGACCACAUAUUCAUCCAUAUAUUGACUACUUUUUAUAAAUAAUAAUAUCAAGGUCAAUUUGUUGAAGGAUUAUAUUUUAGAAAAAUUUCAUUUAUGUCCUUGAAAUAUGUGGAAAUAUCAAAAAUACCCCUACAUUCUUGAUAUUAGCGCAUAUACCCUCUCACUUAUGUCAAAAUAUCAAAUCUAUCCUUCAUUUUGAUAACUUAUUACAACUACUGUGUUUUUAAUUUUAAAUGGGCUCAAACCAUAUUUUCUGCUAUGAUUUUUACUACCACCACCACUAUGGAUUGGAUGCUUGUAUGUAUGGAUUAAAUACUCUCAAAUAGCUCGAUGCCUAUCACAAGUAAUUAUGCAACUUCUUAUGAAGUUUUAACAUAUUGAUUUAGUCCUAAUUUUAUAGAAUUAGGAAUACAUACCUCACAUGUAGAACAGUCAUUUCAUGAUCUGUAUGACCCAGAAGACUUUUAAUUAUUCAUUUUAUAAUUGCUAUCUUGAAAGAAGUAGAAAAAAUGCUCAACUUUACAUGUCAACAUUUUUCACUUUUUGUGAAUGAAAAUGAUUAUUUUGUCGCUUUUUGAAGUCAUCUUGAAAUAGAAUCUUUCACAAGUAUCAUAAGGUACAAAGCUCUUAGUAUGGUACUUUAGUUGGUGAAUAGAGACCUAAAAUCUAAAAUGCUCCCACAUACCUUGUGUUACAAUUUUAAGGUUGUUUGCUAUAAGAUCCCUUAGAAUAUCAAUGUGCAUGAGCUCUCUUUUCGGUGUCCUUCCAUCUCUUUGCCUAUACUCAAGAAUUUGACAAGAAGAAGGAUCUUUAUGACAUGGAAUGAAAUCUUGGCAAUAAUGGCUAGAAUGCUACGUUGAACUGUGACAUGAAUGGUGAUUUUGGAAUGUGUCCUAAAUUACAUUUUGUUGUAAUUUGUAGUAUAAAAAUUAGAGUUUUAUAGACCAUGGAGUUCUCAAGAAAGCCAAGAUAAAUGUGACUACAUUUUUGUAGUCAUGGAACUACUUGGGAAUAAGCCAAGAAAUUUCAGAUUUGGUUAGAAGAUAUGUGUGAGCUAAUUCUGAGAACUUCAACCAAACUUGGUGGUUGUACACAUGAAGUUGAAUAGAUAUGCUAUUGUUAACAAUAGAAUCCUUGGGCAUAGAAUUCAAUGGCAAUGGUUAUGUCUUAUACUCCACCGAGAAUAUUGAUGCUUAGCAAUGUGAAAAACAUGAAUUUGACAUAUCACAUGUGAAGCAAUUAUUUUAGGAUCAAUAGUAGCUUUUCGAGUAUUUCUUCAAGAAAUUGAGUUACAAAGAGGUGAUCAAUCUACUUAUGGUUUUGUCAAUCAAUCAAAAUAGACUCAUAAUGAAUAAGUAAUCAAACUGAUAUAGAAUAAAUCAAUUAGUAUUGUCAUAUAAACUGAUGCAAGUAUUCAUACAACUAUGCACUGAUACAAAGGGGAUUAUCUUUUUUUCAAGAGUGGACAAGAAGGAAUUUGUAGCCCAAAAGUAUGUACAAACAUUGGUCUUGAUAAGUGCACAAGCGAUACUUUUAUCCUUGAUUAAUGUCUUGCAUCGAAAUAUCGGCCUUGUUAGUCCCAAUGAUAGGCUUGACUUAUUCAGCAAGUCAAGAGCCACUAAGGAGCUCAACAUACUCAUUUUGUAUGCGAUAGAUAAGAGUGCAUACCUUAUAGGCAUCUUAUUCCUCAAAUACUCUAUUUUUUGGAAGACGUGUGAUAUGCAUGUAUACCUUCCUCUAGAACGAGAGCUAUGCCCUUUGAUCUUAUGCUAAUGACUUCAACUACCAUUUAAAUGCUAUUCUAUAAUACAGUUUUUAUAGAACUUAUGAAAAUCAAGAAUUUGGUACCUGAGGAAUAAUAACAUUGUAUCCAAGAAGAACCUCCAAUCAACUGGAAAGCCUACUAAAAGCUACAUUAGAACUCAGUAACCACACUAUAAAAAAAUAACUACCACUUGUUCUUGCUCUUUCCAUAGUCUGCAUAGUCCAUCCGACUUGAAGCUUGGAAAGAAUGAAUGCCUCGCCUCUAAGCCUUCCUAUUGGUGUGGUGCAUUGAGCCUUCACAAGGAUCAAAGUCUACAAAUGCCUUAACACCUCCGAUAUAUAGUUGUCUCACUGUCAAGGACAAAGACUCGAUGAGAGAAAAUAUACACAAAAAGGCUAUCUCGAUAUAAUAAGUCAAAAUAUAAACAAGUAGGUAUAUUAAAAGGAAACUGGAAUGGCUAUUGCCACAAGACAAGAAACUAAAGACUCUUGAAUCUAGACUAGAAGCAAGAAAGGAGUUGACAAGAGUGAAGAGGGCUUCACUCUUGCCUCUAUAUAUACUAUCUAACUAGAAGCCACGUGGCGAUGUUCUAUAAGACCUCCAAUAUAUGUUGACUUUCUAGGCCACAUGCCUUUGCUUGCAAGGCAAGUUUUCUAUGGAUGGACCACGUAGUUAGCUUGUUCUUUAAGCUUCCAACAUGCGUGGCACAUGGCUAACUUGUUGACCAAGUUUCUAACCUAAAAGUCAACAAUAGACUCCUAUAAAGUCAAAGCAGCGUCUAUGAAGCUUCUAAGAAGCUUCUCUAGAAGAUAUUACACAAUUAACCUACUUUUACAUACUUUUAUCUAUUCAUAUAGGUAAUUAUAUGUAUGUCCGUGACAUUACCCCCCCUUCUAGGGAUGAGUUCCACGAGGAGCGGUGAUUAUAUAUUGAAAAAAUCUAAUAUGCGGCGAAUUGUAUUUGCUACAUACUCUAAUCUUUGUUGUCUUCGAAGAUAGUUGAUGGGUCCUCUUAGCCAUCGAUAGUGUCCCAUUCCAGGGCGAGAAGACCACCCUGUUAUUUGAUCACUGUUGAGGCCUUCAUAACUUCCUUCAAAUAAUACAUUUGAAAGACCAUCAUGAGUCGUUCCUAUGUCCAAUAAUAUCACCAAACAUCGAGAAUCUCUUCCAAGGUCGUGAUACCAAACGCGUUGUAUCUCACCAUCUAUUCGAGGAAGAACAUGUCGUUCUUGAGGGUCUUCAUUUCGGUUGCGUCGUCUUGAAGGUUGUGACAAUCGUAAUGUCUCAUCCGGUAAGUCAGCAAACGAAGGUUCUUGAGUUGAAUCCGCUGAUUGUUGGCUCUCCAUCUAAUUAGCGUCACAAAAUGCAAAGAAGUUACAAACAAGGAUAGGAAAUUGAAUGUUAUCUUGCCUCAAUCUUGUCUCUUUUAUAAGAGAGGUUUUCAUCUUGGUUUUGAUGGAUGUCGUUGAUGAAAAACUUUGACUUUAGCUGAUGCAUUUGCUAGAUUCCUGGAUGGCUCCCAUGUGCGCUCACUAAUAUCAUAUCCGCACCAAUGAACAAGAUAUUCCAGCUUAUUUCGGCGCCGCCUUGAGUCUAAUAUCUCUUCCACCUCAAAUUCUUCAUUAUUAUCUACUUCUAUAGGAGGCGGUGGCAUUUGUCUUCUUCCUUGUAUAUCCACUGUCUUAUAUGGUUCAAGAAGAGACACGUGGAAUACAGGAUGGAUCUUCAUUGACUCCGGUAGAUGUAACCGAUAUGCAACUGGGUUGAUCUGUUCAGAAACAGAAAAGGGGCCAAGCCUACGAUAGUCCAAUUUGUCACAAGGUCGAGUGGUCUUGAUAUUGCGAUGAAGUAGCCAUACCUUAUCACCCACGUUGAGUUGUGGUUGCUCUUUACGAUAUACAUCUGCAUUUAUCUUUUGUCGUUCUUGAGCUUUCUUCAACUGCGCCUUCAUUAUUGCAUGUAACUCUGACAACCAAUUUGCCAUAUCUUCUGCUGCAGGAUUAUCAACUUUUGAAAAAUCAAAAGUAUCAAGUCGUGGAUGAUAGCCAUAAUUGGCAAAGAAAGGUGUUUGUUGCGUGGAGGAAUGUACCGUAUUAUUAUAAGCAAACUCUGCCAAUGGCAGAAGGUUUGUCCAAUCAUCUUGUUGGUAGUUGAUGGUACACCUUAAAUACUGUUCCAAGACUUAGUUUACGCGCUCUGUUUGUCCAUCAGUUUGAGGAUGGAAAGCUGAAGAUAGCUUUAUGUCCACUUUUAAAAUCUUGAAAAGAGUCCUCCAGAAUCUCGACACAAAUUGAGUUCCCCUAUCCGAUAUGAUAUCUUUAGGUAAUCCAUGAUAGCGAUAGAUAUUAUCAAUGAAAAGCUUAGCUGUUUCUUCACCUGUGAUAGAUUUUGUACAUGGCAUAAAAUGUGCCAUCUUGGUGAAACGAUCUACUAUCACAAAUAUAGAAUCAUAAGAUCUUGAGUUUGGAAGAUCUGUGAUGAAAUCCAUAGAAACAGAAGACCAUGGUUGUUCUGGUAUAGGUAAUGGCUGAAGAAGUCCGUAAGGUCGAUGUCCAGGAAUUUUUGAUCUUGAACAAAUAUCACAUGAUUGUACAAAGUCUUUGACUGACUUCCACAUUUGUGGCUACCAAAAAUCUCUUGAUAUGAGUUCCAGAGUCUUAUUAUAUCCAAAGUGCCCUGCUGCUGGAAAGUCAUGACGUGCUUGAAGAACACGCAAACGUGCUUUUCCUUCUGGAACAUAUAGGCGUCCUUCAAAAUAUAAUAGAUUAUUCUUGAACUCGAACUUAGAAGAAUCAUGAGACUUGGAAGAAUUAUUCUCGAUAUCAUGAACAAGAGGGUCUGAGGACAUACUGGACUGGAUUUGCUUGAGAAAAGUUGAAUCAACAAUCAAUGUUGAUUUCACUGCUCGGAGAUGAAAUUGCUCCGGUUUCAAGAGGACCGUUCUUUGUUGCUCAAAAGCUGCAUCUCCUUCUUUUGGUGCAAAAUAAGAACGUCUAGACAGGGCAUCGGACAAACCUUGUUGUUUUCCUGGCCGAUAAGUGAUAAUGAAGUCGAAUCUUGACAAAGACAUACUCCAACGAGCUUGACGACGAUUCAACACGCGUGCUGACAUGAAAUACUCGAGGUUCUUGUGAUCUGUAUAUACAGUGACUGGACUAGAAGCACCUUCUAGAUAAUGACGCCAUUCUUGAAAGGAAUCCACGAUUGCAAGAAGUUCUUUAUCGUGGAUCUCAUAAUUGAUCUCGGCUGCUGAGAAUUUUCUUGAAUGAAAAGCUAUCGGAUGAAGUUUGUCAUCUGUUCCCAUUUGUGAUAAAACUGCACCCAAGGCAAAAUCCGAUGCGUCUGUUUCCAUAAAAAAUGCCUUGGAAAAAUCAACACGAUAUAAGACUGGUGCAGAGACAAACGAUGUCUUCAAGGCUUCAAAUGCUGCUUCCGCUUCUUGAUUCCAUUGGAAUUUAUCUUUACUAGUCAAGCGUGUAAGUGGAGCUGCAACUCGUGAAAAGUCUUUGAUGAAGAUCCGAUAGUAAUUGGCAAAUCCCAAGAAACAUUGGACAUCUCUCACAGUCUUUGGGAUCUUCCAAUCCAUGAUUGUUUGGACUUUCUUAGAAUCCAUCAUAAGACCAUCAUUUGAAAUGAUGUAUCCUAAAAAGUCAACUUGAGUAGUGUGAAAUACACACUUUUCCAUCUUGGCGUACAAUCCUGCAUCUCUGAGUUUUUGUAAUACUUGACGAACAUGUAUUUCAUGUUCUUCAACAUUCUUAGAAUAAAUCAGGAUAUCGUCUAGGUAGCAGACGACAAAAUUGUCUAAGAAUUCACGAAAUACAUCAUUCAUGAGAUGUUGAAAAGCAGCUGGUGCAUUCGUGAGUCCAAAAGGCAUGACAUUAUAUUCAAAAUGCCCGUACCUGGUUCGAAACGCAGUCUUCCAUUCAUCUCCUUCUUUGAUCCGUACUAGAUUAUAUGCUCCUCUUAGAUCUAUUUUUGUAUAGAUCUUAGCUUGAUUUAACUGGUCAAGGAGUCCUGAUAUCAAAGGUAAUGGAUACCUGUUCUUGAUUGUGAUCUUGUUGAGUCCUCGAUAGUCAACACACAUUCGUAAAGAUCCAUCUUUUUUCUUUACGAAUAAAAUUGGAGCUCCUGCUGGAGAUUUUGAAUGGCGUAUGAAAUUCUUUGCUAAAUUCUCGUCAAUAUAUGUCUUGAGUUCAGCCAACUCAUCUUGCGAUAAACUGUAAAUUGGUCCAAAUGGUGGCUGAGUUCCUUCCUUGAGAUCGAUUGAACAAUCGUAUGGGCGAUGCUCAGAAAGAAUAUCUGCAUUCUUUUUCUCAAAAACGUCUUGAUAAUCCUGAUAUUGACUUGGAAUGCCACUUGAAGUCUUUACGCUUUCAGAAAUAGGUGCAGCAUAAAUAGCAAAAGUUGAUCCUUCUUUUGCUGCGUGUAUAAAUGCUUUUGCACCUAUAGGUGUGAGUUUUACUAUACUAGACUCAUGGUUUUUUACUUGGUUAAUAGAACUGUUACUAAUGCUCUGAGGAAAAUCAAGUUUACGAGAAAUCCAAUCUAUUCGAGGAUUAUACUUUUCUAACCAUGAUAAGCCUAAAAUUACUGGAUUAGAGGGAGAUCUAAUUAUAUUAAAAAUUACGCAACUACUAUGACCAUUUAUUAAUACAUCUACAGGAAGUGUUUCGUGAGUUACAUCUCCAGAAGACAACGGACGACCAUCUAUGACUUCUACGUGUACAGGUUUAGUUUUUUGUAUUAAUGAUAUUCUAUGACAUCUAGCAAAUUCUUCAUCUAAAAAACAAGAUGAGGCUCCUGAAUCUACCAAGGCAAAGGCUUUGUAAUUAUUAGGUCCUAAACGCACAUCUAUUAUAAAACAAGGAGAUGGUUUUGAGGAGAGGAUAGGACCUUUAUUAGAAGUUGUACACGAUUCCAGCCGCACGGUCCCUAUUGUAGCUAGACGUACUCGUUUUCCGACAUACUGUCUUCUUUGACAGCCGUACUCCUCAUUUUGUAGUUACGUCGCUUCUUUGGACAAUGUUGAGCAGUGUGCUUAGGUUCUCCACAAUAUAAGCACAAUCCUUCUUGUCGACGACGAGACUUUUCUUGCUCAGUAAGAGGUUUGAAACGUACCGCAUCAAUUUGCAUAUCCUCUACUUCCGAAGGUAUGUGUUGAGGAGACGUCGGUGUUGCCAUUGAAUUGUAGUAACGUUGAGGCCUACUUGUGCGACUCUCGGAUCGAAAUUCAAAAAGUCGAUUGUCGCACUUCACAGCAAAGUCAAUUGCUUGACUCAAUGUUUGAGGAUCAGGUAAAUUAAGCAUCAAUUUCUUUACCUCAUAUUGUAAUCCGUAGAGAAAUUGACUCACAAGUGCGGCAUCAUCCCACUUGAUAUCAGUUGCAAGUUGUCGAAAUUGCGAAGCAUAUAAUGUUACUGAUCGAUUGCCUUGUCGCAAAAUACGGAUCUUGUUGGUUGCAACACGAAUUGCAUCAUGUUCUCCAAACAUGGAUCGAAACUCCGCCAAAAAAGCCUCCAGAUUAUCCAAUAUUGGAUCUCGUCGUUCAAGAAAAGAUGAAAACCAUGACAAUGCUGAACCUGAAAGAAGUGUACCAAUGAAUCUUACUUGUGACCCUGGAGUUGGAUAGCUCUGGGGUUGAAGUUCAAUCACUAGUUGGACCUGAUUGAUGAAUCCUCGAAACUUGGAUCUGGUACCAUCAAACUUCUCGGGCAAGGCAACUCUCGGUUCUCUAACACUCGAAGGGUGUUCCAUUCUGGGAGAAGGGACAUGGUUUAGUGCAGAUGUUGAAGCAGCCCCAAUCAUCUCUAUAUCUUCACUUCCUACCAUUCUUGUUGCUCCUUGUGGUGGUAAAUUGAGUUGAUGCAUCGCAAGCAUUAACUCCCUCAAUUGUUCUUGCAUCUGUGCCAUUGCACUCUUCAUUUCAACAAGCUCUGCCAUAGUAGCACUUAGAAAAGAGAAGAUGUCUAACAACGCUCAAAACAAAUAGAAAAGAGGAAUUGAUAACAAAGAAAAUACUAAGAACAAUAUCAGUUUAAAAGAGGGUAAUCCGCAACUUCUAAUGCGCUUAUGUCUUAUCAAGAAAAAGGGGUAAUCCACUCUUAAUCAAGAAAAGACAAAGCUCUGAUAUUGUAAGUGUACUCUUGUCAAUCUGUCAAGGACAAAGACUCGAUGAGAGAAAAUAUACACAAAAGGCUAUCUCGAUAUAAUAAGUCAAAAUAUAAACAAGUAGGUAUAUUAAAAGGAAACUGGAAUGGCUAUUGCCACAAGACAAGAAACUAAAGACUCUUGAAUCUAGACUAGAAGCAAGAAAGGAGUUGACAAGAGUGAAGAGGGCUUCACUCUUGCCUCUAUAUAUACUAUCUAACUAGAAGCCACGUGGCGAUGUUCUAUAAGACCUCCAAUAUAUGUUGACUUUCUAGGCCACAUGCCUUUGCUUGCAAGGCAAGUUUUCUAUGGAUGGACCACGUAGUUAGCUUGUUCUUUAAGCUUCCAACAUGCGUGGCACAUGGCUAACUUGUUGACCAAGUUUCUAACCUAAAAGUCAACAAUAGACUCCUAUAAAGUCAAAGCAGCGUCUAUGAAGCUUCUAAGAAGCUUCUCUAGAAGAUAUUACACAAUUAACCUACUUUUACAUACUUUUAUCUAUUCAUAUAGGUAAUUAUAUGUAUGUCCGUGACACUCACCUAAUAAGAUUAUUCUCAUUAAUUUACGUUACUUCUUCCAAAAGACACAUUGCUAAUCCAGACCGUCGCCUUUUUCACUCAACAUCAUCAUCUAGACUAGGCUUAAGAUAGAUUGAGGAGACACUUUCUUCACCACGUUUCGUUCUAAGACUAGUCAAUCACUUUAUUACUCAAAUGGUCUAUUAAUAGGAUCUUGAGCACCCUAAAGGUGCCUAAAAUCUAAGAUAUUUAAGGUUCUUGUAACCGCCUUUAUAUCCCCGCAUAAAGAUUUCCUUAGGUCAAAAAAGGUGGUCCUCCCAUUUUCUCUUUUGUUACCUCGUUGCGAGCUACUCUUGCACAUUGAGUAACUCUUAGCUUAUGUUUUGUAUUUGCUAUGUAAAGAACUGUCUUUUGAAUCUCUUACACCUUCUUCCACUUUAAAGAGGUCAAUGUCCUCAUUGGUGGUGGCAGCAAUUUAAUUAUACAUUAACUUUUGAAGAGUGGAACUCAUUCCCUUGGCUCCUCAUGUGUACUCAAUAUAACUCGGUACUCCAAAUAUCCAAACAAUGUGAAGGCUUUCUAUUUUGUCUAGUCCACGUUCCACCCUUGGAUCCUUAAGAAAAUUAUGGAAUUCAUAAUGAGACAGGAUGCUACUCCUUCUUGUGUUAUUUGUAUAAAUCGCCUCUAACUUCCUUAUAAUCUUCUUUUAAAAUUAACCUUGAAACCUUGCAUCUUUGCUUUCAAGUUGCAAAAGCUUAUACUUCUAUAAGACUUAUUUCGUCCAUUGAAUCUCUUAAUUGAAGUCUGUCUUACUCUACUAUCCUUUCUUACCUUAGGGAGGUGAUUUGUAAUCACUCAAUUGAAAAUCUAUUUAGGAAAGGCCGGCUAUUUAGGUCUAGUCACUCAAGGCCUUGUAUCCGCCUCAUACAAGCUCCUCAAAGGUUGCCUUCUAUGGAGUCUCCUCGGAUUCGAACCUUUCUAAUGUUUCUUAUACUUUUGAAAAAUUCACAUCUUUAUCAUAGUCCUAACAUCUUGAAUCUAUUUUAAGUUCCAAAGCUUCCUCACUUCCUCUUCUCUGUCCAAUAUCAUGAGUGUUUGGAUCUCUUCAACUCUUUUUUUUAUGUUCCAUAGGAUUUUUUCUACAACUCUCUCCUUCCAAUUUGGAGUAAAGAUGUCCUCAUCUUUUGGUUUGUCAUCGAGCACUUUUGUUGCAGUUUGAAGUCGUCAGUUCUUCAACUAUUUUCGCAUGGAUUGGCAUUGUUGAUACUCCCCCACUUUCUUAUUGAAAACAACCACCAAUCCGUGCACAUGUCUAAGAUUUUUCUCAUUAAUCUAUUGAAACUCAUGUGGCAUGUAACCUUUGAAGGCACAUAGAUAUUACACUCUCCUUACAUUGGUUCUUUUCUUGUUAAGUAUUGUCAAUACUUGCCUCAUAGUUUGGUCCCAUAUCUCUUCUUGAGGUAGAACUUGAGCCUUCUCUUUGUGGAAGCUUUUUUCAUCAGCCACAAAUUUCUUGUGAACACUAAUAUGGAAUAUUGGAUGCCAUUUCAACCUUUUUGGGAUGCCUAAUACAUAGACAUUUUUGUACAAUAUUCAUUCAAUCAGGUAAGGCCUUGUCCACUUUAGAGUCCACUUAGGAGUGAGAUAUGCGGGCUAAGUGAGGUUGUUCGUAUUCAACCACACUUGAUCGCCCUUCUUAAACUACAUGUCUCUUCUAUGCUUAUCCACUUGUUUUUUGUAUCUACUCUAGGCCACCUUUAGUCUUACCUUGACGGUGUUCAUAAUGGCUUCUUUCCUUGCCAUCCACUUUGCUCCUCCCACCAAGUAGAAUCCCAAAGUCAAUUCAUCACUUUGCUUAAUUCCAAUCAGGUCAAUUGAUUUAAGCACGUCAAAUCUGUGAGUUACUUGGAAUGGUGUAUUAUCUAGAGUCUUGUUUUGAGUUGUGUUAUAAUUAAACUCUGCUAUAGGCAGCCACUUGAUCCAGUCUUUGUAGUCGCUUGCCACAUAGUGUCUCAAGUACAUCGAGAGAAUUCCAUUGAUCCUUUCCAUCUGGCCAUCUCUUUAUGGGUGCCACGCCAUUGUAAGAAUAUUUUUAUAUUCUAAUUUCUUUAUAACAUUAUCGUAUUACGUGAAAUCUUGCUUGAAAAUGUAUUAAGCACUUGUUUGUCAAAGAUAAAAGGAAUUUGCAACAAGUUCUAACCACUUUAAUAAAAUUAUAUAUAAAUUACUAUAGAAGCUUAAGAAACAUAAUUAAACAUCAAUUAAGUCCAAUUAUUUUUAUUUUAUUUUAUUUUAUUUUAUUCUUGAAAUAAAUUAUAACAACAAAAAAAAAAAAAAAAAAAAAAAAAAAAAAAAAAAAAAAAUCCUGAAGAAAUUUAAAGAAAUUUAAAAGAAUCUUAAAAGAAUCAUAAAGAAAUCCUAAAGAAAUCUUAAAUAAAUUUUAAAAAAUCUUAAAGAGAUCUUAGAGAAAUCCAAACCAAACUAUAAAUCAAACCAAAUCCUAAUUCUAAACAAAUCCUAAAAAAAUCCUAGUCAAACUCUAGUAAAAUCCUAAUCGAAUCCUAAUCAAUCCCAUAUAAUUCCUAUAUCAGAUUUAAACCUCAAUAACUAAUGAAUGAAUUAUUGAUUUUAAUUCAAAUUUUGCACAUUUCUUAAUAAUUAAAUUGAAAAUAGGCAAAAAAAAUUUGAAAGGGAUCAAAAUUAUCAAAUAGACAAUAAUCUCAAAAAUGUAUGUGGAUGUCAGCCAGCUUCCUUGACCGACCUUGAUGCCAAUCUCUUAGUGCCAAUUACUCCUGAUUGAAACGUUACUUUGAUUCCAAACUUUAAAGGCUUAUUGAAAAUCAAGUUGACUACCUUUAUGAAUAAAAUUUGCUUCAAUCUAAUUGGCAGAUUGAUAGAUAUCUAAGAAAACCUGAUUAGUCCUCAAAAUCCUAAAUAUUGAGACCAUAAUCCACAAAAAUCUUUAUGCUUUUCAAUCUAAUUAUUCAAUCAAAUUCAAAUUCAUAGCAUACAUCAAGCACAACUACACCCACAAACCUAGAAAAUUUUACCUAUGGUUCUAUCACCAAACUCUUGAAAUUAUUCAAAACGUCAAUCCUAUUUUAUUUUCUAAAAAUUAAAAUUAAUAAAAACAACAUUGACUUUAUAAAGCUCUUACAAAGUCAUCAUCCAUCCAAAACCUUCAAAAUUAAUGCCUAUAAAAAUCCUUUCAAGUUUGAUCUCCAAAUCUAUUCUUCGAUCAACCAAAGAAUCCCAUAAUCAUCAUGAAGGCUUGGUUUUGUGCCUUGGGAUCUGAUUUUGAUCCUAAUUGGUAACUGGUCUUCUCUAGAUAUCAAUUUUUGUCCCUUUUGAGGUAAAUUUUGCUAAAACCAACUCUUCACUGCCUCCUACAUAUGCUUGUAUCUUUUAUUUUUCUAAUCUACCUUAUUUUGCCUUAUUUAUGGCCCUACAAAGAAGUAAAAGCUACUUUUUUAAAAAGUGAGCAUUACUACUAAAAGUUUUAAUACCUUCCUAUCUUUUAUCCAUAUUUUUUUAUUUUGCCUUUUAACUUGGCUCUUCUAUCAUAAGAUCCAUAUUAUUAUCUUCCACUAUAUAGUCGUACUAUAGUUAUAUUAUAUAUUGAUAAUGAUACAAAAAUCCAUAUUAUUAUCUUUCACCAUAUACUUAUAUUAUCAUUCUACAUCGCUUUGCACCCUCAUCAUUUAUUAUGAAUGAUGAAAAAAACUUACAACUUGCGGCAUGAAUCCUCAUUGAUUGAUCAAAACAUUUUUGACUUUGCGAUAAGCCUUAGCAUUAGUAUGAGUUUCUUGACCACAUAAGAACAAUCCCGCAUUGUGGUGAAAACUGUGAUAACAACCAAUACUCAUCAAUUAUUUAAUAUCCUUUUGAAUUAUUCUCACUAAUUCUAAAUCAACUAAAUAAUUUUGACUUAUUAUUUUGAUAAUUCGAUCAAUUUGAUACUUAGUUAACUUAUUAACUUUAAUCUUAUCAUUGAGACCUAAUUGAUCAAAAACUUGAAUUGCUUUUUUAGGGUCAAGUCCAAAGAUUCGUGUUAAAGCAAUUUCUACUUGUUCAUUCAGCACUAAAUUAGUUCCUAAAAUAUAUGACAUGAUUUUUUUUUUCUUUACUUCUUAUGUAGAAUUUUGUUUCGAUAUUAUAUACAUUUUCCUUUAUAAACUUCAGGAGGUUUACAACUUUUGAUGCUAGCAGCAAAUUGAGUUACUUUUUGAUGAUCUAUUCUAGUACAACAAAUAAGAUUAGGCUUGAAGCAAAAAACACCAACUGCAAGGUGACUUGAAGUCGAAUCUCAUGACUAAAGCCUAAUUUUAGAUAUAAAAUAGAGCCUUGUGGAUUCCUACUCGCUUUGUAUCCAACUCCAUUUAUUUUCAGAAAAAAAAAAAAAAAAAAAAAAAAAAAAAGUCUUCCAUAAACAAGUAGCAUACAAAGGUUAAAUGUUAAAAGCAUCCCAGUGGCGACCUUUUGACUAUGGUACAGAUUCACAAGUUACCUAUUUAUAGUCACUUUUUUUAUAGACUACACGCCGGUAAUAACACCUAUGGUAGAUUAUGGAGAUAUUCUAUUUGUAAGCAUUUUGCUGUCCUUCUAAUAAGAGCUCCAGCCUUUGCUUGGGUAUAGAAUUCUUAUUUCAUGGGAUUUGACCAUUACGUGUUUGAAAGUUCUUAUGUUGAAAAAGCUCAUUGAGGUGAUGCAAGCGGCAGGAUAUAUUUUCUAUUUUAUUAGUGAACGAAGGCGGAUACAUAUUUUCUUGUACACUCAUUUAAGCAUGCUGCACAAAACAUUAGUUCCUUGCCUGAUUAUUGCGGCGGAUGAGAUUUGUGCAUAACCUGAUUAAAAUCUUGUAUAAUUCUAACAAUGGAGUUGUUCCAUGCCAUCAACUUGCGCACCUUGGUAUGUACAGAGUAGCCACAUUUUGUAGGUUAUGUAGGAUUGUGAUACAAUAAUGGUUUACACCAAGCAAGAUUUUGUGGACCUUAGGGUGAAGUCCAUGGUUUCAAUAACCUUCAUCUUAAAGGACCCUGCUUUUUAUUGGUUUUGACCUCUUUGGAAAUAAGAUCACAUUCUUCUUGUUAUAAUAGCAAUUUUAGAACUUCAGCCAGGAAGAUCAGGGGAACCAUCCUCUACAUAAUUUUUUACUUGGUUCAGCUACUGCUGAUUCACUAGGAGUGGUCCCUUUUGCAACCUUAUGGUAACAGUAUGUCUUGGGUUUAGGACGCAUAUAUAGUGUGACACACCGCUUGAGCUCGUUUAGUAUUUAAAGACCAAAAGGCGCAUAGCACCGGAAAAAAAAUCAAACCAAAAAAUGGAAAGCAAAAAAAAAAAAAAAAAAAAAAAAAUCAAGCAAAACAUAGUUUUUUUUUAAUGCACCUUGUGGCUACCUGCAAAGUCAACGUUUAUUCCACUAUUCCACUGACGACCAACAUGAUUUGUUUAUGCCUAUUAAAGAACCUUUAGAUAUUACUUCACAAAAAACUAUACGAGAAAUGCGAAAUAACUUAUAUACUGAACGAGGGUGACCCAUGAAAAUACAUCGAUUUUUUACUCGUGUUCUGGAACUAUUUCUUGGCAACUUAGAUGACUUUAAAAAAUAUUCAUAAUGUAUUUGAUUAGGGCGAUUUUUAUGUCAAGAAAUUGCUUUACGUUACAUUUGUUCUAAUUCAUAUUAAGCCACAAGUAAUCUACGUGUAUGAUCUCAUAAUUUGAUUUGGCAUAUGACUAAACCUCUUUUUGUAAAAAACCACUCCACAAAAUCAAAGCCUCAUCUUGUGUUUUAGCUGAAGUAACAAUAUUUACAUCAAACCCUUGAAUAUGUUCAAAAAUCUCGAAAUGAUUUUGUAUUUCCAGAAAUAAUCAUAACAACAACGUUGGCAUUGAUAAUUAAAUGGAGCUGUUUUGUAUUUUAACUGGGUAAUCGUAAAAAGAUAUUAUCGUAAUAAGUUUUUUCAAGAAAUUAUACAUGGUAUGCCCUCGUAGAAUGCUUUGUGCUAGGUAAGUGAUAUAUCCUAUGUAUUUUUUUGACUUUCAAUUCAAUAUAAAUUUAUUAAAUCGAAACAACUUUCCUGCCAAAUCUCUGCUUCGUGUCUGUAUGAAUUUUUGACCACAAACAAUCUCCAUAGCUAAUUUUACAUUUUUUAUUAAAUUAGAGGGUGCCUUUGGAACUAUAAUUAUUUUACACAAUCUACGAACUUCCAUAAUGUUAGCAUAAUUCAAUUUUAACAACAAAUCUUAACGUAAUAAAUUUUCGUAAUGAAAAUGGAGUCUAUUUGAAGUGAACAUAAGUUGGCUUUUUUUUUAUUAUUAUUAUUUUAGAUAAAAACAAAUAUAAGCACUGUGCCUUAUUUGAUUUAGAAAUAGCAGACUGUUAUGCAUUUCUUUUACAUAAUAAAAAUAAAAUUGUAAAAGGAUGUAGUAGCAAGCUCUGGAUUAGCUUUGCGCCUCAAGAAAAAAUGGUUUUUUACAUUUAGCAGUAAAUUUUUAUUUUAUUUUAGCCCGGACGCCUUAGCUCUACACUUGGGGUAUUCGACUUCAACGCCAUUCUCUUUAUUAUAUUCAUUCGAAGAAAGCUCACAAAAAAAAAAAAAAAAAAAAAAAAAACUUCUUUCUUUAGCCACUUGCUGAGGAGCCGGGCCUAGCAAAGCCCGUGAAAACAAGAGCUGUGCGGGACAAAACUCUGCUACGCAAUUCAAUCUAUUACAUGGUUCACCUUCCAAGCUGCGAAUAAAAUAAUCGUCUUGGACUCGAGGCCUUCGGCCUCAAGUCAUUUUAUUCUAUUUCGCGGGCUAAAAUCAAUUUAUUUGCAUUGCAAAUAAUUUGUAAGUCGCGCCCUUCCUUAAUUCCAAAAGGCGCAUCAAAGAGCAGUAUAUAGAUAUUUAUUACUUUUUUUACGUUUUUAUAAACCUUUGGGCUAAAUGGGAUCAAAGAACAUGAAUUAUUUACAAUAAUAAAUUCCUUACUUGCUUUACGGUUUCAACACUUCUACCGUCUUGACAGCUUGUUCAUUUUCAGGCCGAUAGAAGCAAUAAAGAUUCCUGGUCUUUACCCACUUUCUUUGCUUUGCUCCGUGCCUUUUGGCCUUACUAUUUACUAACCAAUUAAAACCAUUGAACAAACUUGGUUGACGAACAUAGUCUAUGCACUGCCAAUGUGGCAGCUUGUUGCGCAUUUGACAAACUCACACCAUCCAUUUCAAAUAAGAUUUGUCUCUUUACCACACGAGCAAUCCAACCUGUAGAAUUCCCUUUUCCUUUUCCCAUUCGGACUUCGGUGGGUUUAUUGGUAAUAGGAAUAUCUGCAAAAACUCUUACCCAUAUUUGACCAUCUCUUUGAAAUUCUCUGCUUAUAGCACGACGCGCCGCUUCAAUUGCUUGAUAUGAGAUACGACCAGCUUCACAACUUUUCAUGCCAUAUUUUUCGAAACAAAGUUGUGUACCAUCUGCUUUGCAACCCUUAAAUCUGCCUUUGUGAUAUUUACGAAAUUUUGUAUGUUUUGGAUAUAGCACAACUUGUCCCUUUUUUUGUGUUAAAAAUAUGAAACCCACACUUUGGCACCUAAAAUCCCAUAAGAAGUAGAUGAUUGUGCUUUCGCAUAAUCAAUUUGAUCAGAAAAUACAUGUAAAGAGGUUUCACCGUACUUUCUGCAUUCAGUUUUAGCAAUUUCUGCGCCAUUUAAUCGACCUGAACAACAAAUACGGAUUUUCUUAACAUAUUGGCAUUUUUCAAUCUAUUAAAAUGUAGCUCUACAGAUUUGUCGAAAUGAUUUUUUUUGUUCUAGUUUCCAAGAUAUUUCUCGAGCAAUUAGAGAAACACUUUGAUAAACAGAAGCUAUUUUGACUAGCCUAAUUAAGGUAUUAGUUUUUGUUUGAUUAGAUAAGAAAAAUUGCAUUUUUUUCCAAUAAUAAUGACGACUGAACAAAGAGUGAACUUUCCUCCAUUUAGCAUCUCUUGAAAUAAAGGGAGCACCAAAAUCCAAUAUAGACCAGAGUUGACGAAUCGGCUCUGUGCUUUUUAUUAUUCUAAUUAUUAGCUAAUGGCAUACCUUGCUCACGAUGGGAUUUGAAAAUAAAGUCUUAAAAGGCUCUGUUUGCGCAAGCAGUGGAGGGCAUUCUGGUGUGGGAACAUUCGUGCUUGGGCGAAGCUGGGAGCGCCGUGCCUAGAGCUAAAAGCUCUUCUGCGCUACGCAUUUCUAGCCUUCCGGAAUUAUUAGCUUCAGAGGAAAGCCAAACUGAAUAAGAUGUUUAGAUGUUUGGAGAAAUUUGGGGUCUAUUUUUUCUUGCAAAGCCCACUUUGUCCGCUUGGCGAAUGAAGUGGGUAGAACCUCGUAAGGCUUCGACAUAGGAGCCUUGCGCAGUUUUCUCCAUGUAGGUUGAGCCUUCUUUUUUUGAACAAAUGAUUUUAUUCAUGAGAAUAGAACGCAUUCUUUUUUUCAAGCUGUCCUCUUUCUUUUUUGCUUCCUCCUGCAUAUAUCUGCUCCGUGCCGCCAAAUCGGAAACUAUGUUAACAAUAGGAUCAAAUUGAAUUCGGUUCUUUGGAUGAAAGAAGUAUUGCAUGACCAAAUGAUUUAAGAGAGCAGUGACAGCUGCAAAAAUGGUCUGUGGAAAUACGUCGCUAAUUUGACGCAAAGAGCCAAAACGAGAAAACGCAUAGCUUUUUUCUGACAUUUUUCUGUCAUCAUUCUCCCAUAGGGCAUCAUUCUUCAAAGAAGUAGAGUUUUUGGAGGCCAUGCAACCGCUGAUUCGAAGUAAUUGAUCAAUUUCAUGCAUUGAUAGUAACUUAUCAUCGUAUCCAUAGCGCCGACUCUUGACUUUGUUUCGCUGUAUCUUUGUAGCGUCGUCAAUACGCCUAAUCAGCUUGACCGAUUGUAUUGCCCCAAGGCCUCUGUGUCUUAACCGGCUGAGUCGAUCUAGAAAAAAUACGUGAAUGAAUGUCCUUUUAGGAAAAUGAUGAAUAAUAAACUUACCUAGACAGAAGCCAAACGUUUUUUCCUUGGGUGGACGUCUUAAAUCAAAAUAAUCUCUAAAAUUUACAUCUUGAUAAAACAAUUUUUCAUAAUAAUAAUAACUAAACCAACUUGAAUCUGAACUACGAUUCAGAUUCAAUCUGACUGAAAUCGGAUUUAUUUUUUUGCGCCACAGUUCACUAUCGUACCUUUUUUUUUGUGUGUCUUAUUUUUGUUUUUGAGGGCGAAGCUCUCUUCCCAGAGGAAGAAGGUUUCCGUGUAGAAGCAAACUCUCCAAAUUUAUGACCAACCAUUUCUUUAGUAAUUUUUAAACCAACAGAACCUUUUUCGUUAUAAAUUUGUGCAUAUCAACCAACAAAUUGAGGCAAAAUACAAGGUUUACGUGACCAAAUUUUCCAUCUGAUCUUUUUUGCUUGAACAAGCAAGCAUCCACAAAGGGCCCUUCCAUACAGAUCGUGUCAUAAACUAAUUUCUGCAUUUUCUUACUACUGUUUUAAAUCCACCUUUGGCGGGUUUUCCCCAAGGUUACACCGAACGUUUACCUCCUUUUGUGCGUCCUUCGCCUCCUCCAUGAGGAUGAUCCACCGGAUUCAUAGCAACACCCCGAACAAUGGGACAUCUGCCUAACCAUCGGCUUUGUCCUGCUUUGUCAAGCUUACGUUUACCAUGAUGAAGAUUGGACACUAUACCGACAGUAGCUUGGUAUCGGGAAUCUAUGAGUUUGUCAACAUCCGAAGGUAAUCGCACGAUACAUUGUGGUGUAUUUUCGAAUUUUUUAAUUAUUUGAGCAAAAAUCCCUGCAGCUCGAAUCAACUUUGCGCCUUGACCUGGUUUAAAAGAAAAAAUAUAAUGCUUCUCCAAGAAAUCGCUUUGCGUUCGAUUCUUUGCACCCCGCUAUGCGUUUUCCACUUUCCGCCUUCACUUCUAGGAAACGUAUUAUGUUCCCCGAAGUCUUUCAUUCGGGAAGCAAAGAAAGUGGGCUUUGCCCCGGCUAAAGCUAUUCUAGGUAAAUCAAGAAAGCUACCGAAAGGGCCUAAAAUUGCAGCAUCUCUCUUUGCCUUAAGGGGAAAAAGGGCCGAGAAAAAAAUGUAAUUUCUUCUCUGAGCUUUCCUGGACAGGGAAGAAAACGAAAAUAAGAGGCCAAAAAAAAAAAAGAUUUUGUUCUCUUCGACCAAGAAAACGCUUGGCUUUUUCUUCUGUUUGACUAUUGGCUGCCUUUGGUUGUUUCAUUGCUUGAAGCCAUCGUACUAAAGCAAUCCAAGAAGAACGAUUAGGAUCAUAGUCGAUUCUUUGUACAAGGCCAAUAGACGAAGUAUUUUGUUAAGAAUCAAUUUUUCGAUGCAAUCGCUUUGAUCCACCUCCUCGAUGAAAAACGGUAAUACGCCCUAAUAAAUUUCUGCCAGCAGACUUUUUUUUAAACGAAAAGUUAAUUGUUUUAGUGUCAUGGUGUAUUUGCCUUUUUUAUUUGUAUCAAUGUAUCAUCUACGAUGAUUGAUCGUCUGCAGCAAGGUUUGCUAUCAUCUUAUAAUGAGAUGAAUUGAACUGCGAGUAGAUCAUAGAGUUGCUACGCCCUUCUCGUACUUUUUUUAGCCUUUUUCUAUGUAUUCUUAUUUUAGAUUGUUUUUCGUAUAUUAGAUCUUUUUUUUAAGCGAUUCAAUCUUAUGUGUGUCAAGCAGGUGCCAUAGCCUUGCAUUCUCAAAAGAUUUAAUAACGAUGCAUUUUAGUUAGUCGUUACAUAAUUAAAUUAGUGCUUUAUGGCAUUCCUACGUAAUGCCAUAAUCCUGAUGGGCCGUAGGCGCUUUCAUCGUUCCACCCGGCCCUGUCAUUUGCUAUGCCAAGGGUAAAGCAGACAGCAGAAUGAAAUAUAUAUAUAUAUAUAUAUAUAUAUAUAUAUAUUUUUACUGCGCUCUGUGGCCUCUGCAAGCUUAUUUAUCUACUUACCGAAAAAGCAUGAAGGGCGCUGCAAGCCAAGGCACCCUCUGCCUCUACGCCCUUUGUUCGCCAAACGAACAAAAAAGUCCGUAGCUCUGGAGAGGAAAAGCCUUAAAACAGCGCAUUCCGUAGCAAUUUGCUAGAUAUAUAUACUUCUCUGCAAGCUAUGUUGAUGAGUCAUCACAGAGGCUUCAGCAGCCUUCCGAGUUUUGCGAAAAAAAUAAUUUUUGGCUCGAUAAAGCUAGGGUCCUACCUGUGAAAUAGUAGUUCUAUCUAUCUACCUCUCCAUGAACAAUAUCUUCAGUACCAAUUAUGGUAACAACAUUUGCUAGCAUGUGAUGCUUAGACAUAAAAUCGAGCCCUUGUAAAUGAGCAAAAUCAGGUGCUCUUAUUUUACAACUAUAAGGACGAUUGGUUCCAUUACUGACUAAAAGCACACCAAAUUCUCCUUUAGGUGCUUCUAUUGCGGUAUAGGUAGAAGUUGGUACAGAAAAACCUUCUGUAUGAAGUUUAAAAUCGUGGUUUAAAGAUUCCAUGGAUUGUUUCAUUUGAGAUCGUGAGGGAGGACAUAGCUUACGAUCAUCCGCUUUAAUCAUGCCACUAGGCAUUUGAUUAAGACAUUGCAUAAUGAUUCGAAUACUUUGUCGCAUCUCUUCAAUACGAAUACAAUAACGGUCAUAACAAUCUCCUCUGGUACCUACGGGUACAUCAAAACUCAAUUGGUUAUAAACAUCGUAAGGUGCUGAUUUUCGCAAAUCCCAGCAUACGCCUGAGCCUCUUAACAUUACACCACUGAAUUCCCAAUCCAAAGCUUGCUGUGCAGUGACAGUACCAAUAUCAACUAAUCGUUGUUUCCAGAUGCGAUUGUUGGUUAACAUUUCUUCGUCAAUACGAGAAGCAAAUUGUUGUGUAAAUAGAAAAAUAUCUUCACUUUAGCCCAAAGGCAUAUCUUGUGCAACUCCGCCUGGUCGUAUGUAACUGGCAUGCAUCCUGGCUCCUGAAACUCUUUCAUAGAAUUCUAAAAGUUUUUCUCGCUCUUCAAAGGCCCACAGGAACGGAGUUAAUGCUCCCACAUCCAUAGCAUGAGUAGUUAAAGCAAGUAAAUGAUUUAAAAUUCGAGUUAUUUCACAAAAUAGCACUCGUAUAUACUGAGGUCGUAAUGGUACCUCACAAUUACAAAGUUUUUCUACAGCUAAAGAAAAAGCAUGUUCCUGGGUUAUCAUAGAAACAUAAACAGAGUCAAAAUUUAAUUGAUGCCAGCUAUGCUGUACACAUCCACUCGCAUCACAUAAUAAAGUGCUCCCCGAACCGUGUAAGAUGGUCACCCAUCACACGGCUCUCUAACUUGAGUUACCCUUAGGUUUCAAAUCAGCAGGCCAGGAGCGCAGCAUCGUGAUGGUUGAGUUUUUGACUUCAGAAAUAUUUUUGCUUUUGGGUGAUAAAGUUGGUUUGAAUAAAGCGUCUGCCUGGUUUAUGCGCAAGCGAACAAACCAAAUAUUCACGGCUUCCUUCCUUUCUUGGAAGUCGCGCAUUCUGGCUUAAUUUCCAAAGAGUAUGGAGUAGGCUGGUCUUCUCCGAACUGCUCAAGUGCGCGGCGUCAAUCCGCCGACUUAGGCCUCUUUCCUUUUGCUUUAAAGCGGCACUUCCUUCCUUCGUUUACAUGGUUCUCGAAGCAAAGGCUAGGUAGGUACUACGAGCCCUUUGUCCCACGCAUCUCUAUCUAGAAAAAUGUAUGGUUCACCGGUUCCACCGAAUGCUCCUAUCUCUUCACAAGAUCGUGUGAGUGUGUCGUAAUGCUUUAGAUGCUUUGCUAUAUUCAUAGUGAAUCCUAGUUUCUGUUUCUACCUACGAUGUACUCACUUUAGAUCUUCGACACACAAGGAAAGACGUUGUAGGGGGAGGCUGCACUCAGAAAACUUAAAGCCAGCAAUUUUUUUUUUUUGCCUUAAUUUGUUGUCUUGCCAAAGCGAAGCUUAUUUUCCUUCUAGCCCAGCACUCCCAGGCGAUCAUUCCGCUGGCAUCUCUCAUUCAUGAUACUUUCCAUUUAACUGACACUCAAGGAUGCAGUUGAAGAUACGGCCAAGGGUUGGCUAUUCCCAGUUAUCUCCUUUUACGACAUGCUGUUGUCGUCGCCAUGUUUUAUAUGUCGAUUAGUUGUAUCUGUUUUGCUACGGGUUUCUGCAGCACCUCCAGAAUGGAGGAGUUCAUUCGGUGACUUCGCGAUCGCCCUCUAAACGAUCAAAAUAAGGUAAAGCUUGAAGAUAAGGUUUUAUACUCAAUUAAUUUUUCUGUGCCUCUAGUCGGGUAGGCGCCAAUCUUUCGGCCGGAACCCCCCCUAAGAACCGUACGUAUCUUUCGCACACUAUUUUCUUACCUUCAUCGAUGAUCAUUCAAAGAAGAUAUGGAUUUAUUUCCUCCAAACAAAAGAUGAGUGCUUCGACAAAUUUUGAUCUUUUCACAAACUGGUAGAAAACGAGGGUAGCCACAAGCUGACACCACUCAGCUCAAGUAACGACGGGGAAUUCACUUCCCACCAAUUCAAGAUUUAUUGUUUAAACCACGGCAUCAAACGCCAAUUGACUCCUCAUUACAACGAAGUGGCUAAAAGAAGAAACCGAAGUAUGCUUGACGUGGUUUGCAGCAUCUUACAAGACACAAAAGCUCCUGCCAUACUCUGGGGCGAAGCAACAAAAACAGCAUGUCUCCUUUUAAAUUUGAGAUCAACAAAAUCCUGUCUUGCUAUGACACCAAAUAAGCUUUAAUCAGGUAACAAACCUGAUAUAUCCCAUUUGCAAAUAUUCAGAUUCUUUGUCCAUGUCGACCACACAACCCCAGGAAAAGGCAAACUCGGCAAUCGAUUGCGGCACUGCAUCCACCUCAACUUCGAUGAAAAUAUUAAAGGCAACCGCCGCUAUGAUCCAGCUAUUAAUUUAGUCGUUAUCUCAAAGGAUGUAUGAUUCCUGGAAGAUCAACACAUCGACCGUAUUGCUCUAAAUCUUGAUUACACUGCCAACACUACUAGUCCAAUUGAACAUAUCUCCGGACCGUUGUUAACCAUAUCUAGCCAAAUCAAUCCGUCCAACGCGCCUCCACCGUCACCACCUUGUCACCCGCUGACAAUUUUAUCACCGUCUUCGACAGAAGCACAACUGCCAUCUGUGCCUCCGUCUUCGACAGAAGCACAACUCUUCCAUCUGUGCCACUCAGCACAUUAAAUCCCAAUGCACCGCCCGUUCCUGCUCCGUCUAAUUUGCGCCGCUACAAUCGGAUCCGACGCUCCCGCAAACACUACAUCUCUUUUGAUCUUGCUGACUCUUUCAUUGGUGUUAUUGAAGAAGGCGGCUCGCAGGAACACAUGCGCAAGCUCAAACCGACCAACGAAGAAUCUUCGUGAUAGACUUAGAAAUGAAAUCCAUAAUUAAAAAUCGAACAUGGAGGCUUGUACCUUUGCCACCAAGUAUCCGACCAAUCACGGCUCAUUGAAUCUAAAAAGUCAAUCCGACGUCAACUGUAGGCUGCUUUGCCACAAAGCCCAGAUCUUCGCUAGAGGCUUCGAGGAACAAGAUGGUAUCAAUUUUGCCAAAAUCUUUGCAUCUACUGUUAGAUGGGAGUCCAUCCGGCUAGUCACCUGCCUCGCCACCCAUCACUGUUGGCCCAUAUAUUAUAUGGAUGUGGCUAUCGAUUUCUUGAACGGAUUUUGAAACAAGGAUAUACUCAUGCUUCCCGGCUGUGCUACACCUGAUACAGAGCAUCUCGUCUACAAGUUGUGCAAGUCACUCUACUACUUUAGGCAGUCUCAGGGAGCAUGGUACAGCCACAUCAACUUUUACCUACAACACAAAGUACUACACAAAGGUAUGUCCCAAACAACUACCAAUGCCAAUAUAUAUUAUUCUUGUUCCAACUCAUCAACCAUUUUGCUCAUUCUAUAUAUUAAUGAUUUAAUGAUCAUUGGCUCCAAUUUUGAUACAAUAAUGUUGUCAUGAAUAUACCAUACAAUAGUUCAAAAAAGAAGUUGAACAAAAGAGUUUCAACAAAAAAGUUAAUAAAAACUUGAUUAAAUUAGAUGUAUACAAGAUCAACACCAAUAGAGGUGACCUAGAACUCUAAGAAAAGUAUUGUUGAGAUAAAGCAUCUUCUUAGCCUCAACUCUAAAAUAUAUUAGGUAUUAAGAAGAUUCUUGAGAAGUUCUCAUAUUGCUUAGAGACAAAGCAAUCAUAGGAUUCUUCUUGUACAAUUUCUUUAAUCUUCCUAGAACUUUUUAGAAUUUGUUGGAAUAUUUUAAGAACCUUCUAAAACUUUUUAUUAGAAUAUUUUAAGAAUCUGCUAAAAUCUUAUAAAACCUAAUAGAAUAUUUUAAGAAUCUUCUAAAAUCUUAUAAAACCUAAUAGCAUAUUUUAAGAAUAUUCAAAAAUCUUCUUCUUGAAUAUUCAUAACACAUAUUAGUCAAAUGCUUUCUACAUGAUGAAUUCAAAAUGGCCAUUUUGGACCUCAUACAAAAAUUUCUUGAGGUUUAAUUUUUACAAAUACAAAGUGGCAUCUUCUUUCAUCAAAUUAAUUAUAUCUAUUCAAUUAUUUCUAAAUAUAUCCACAUACCAAGACUAACUUUUCAUGUCCCACUAUUCAAAAUAAUCCAUCUUUGCACAAAAACCAACACACCUAUUACUAAUGAAUCUUAGUAUCAAGGCUUUAUCAAAAAACUAUAUUAUAUGACCAAGACUUGACUCAAUGUUACAAUUGCCUUCUCUUUACUUAGUUGCUUCAUGCAUAGACCAAAGAAAUAAGAUCUCUUUAUUCUACAUUAAGUUGUCUAUUACCAUAAAAAAACUUAUUUAUUUAAAUUAUGAAUUUCAAAUGAUGUCAUAUUAUGUAUGUUGUUGCUUGAGAAUAUACUUAAAAUAGACUUAAAUAUCCAACAAUAAUAACUUCUUGUACUUCAAAUAUAGAUUUUGCUUUCAAAAGUAUAAGAUGAACUUCUUCAAGUUGAAAUAAAAUCUUUUUGCAAUCUUGUAUAUGAUCAACAAUAUACUCACAACACUCCUUCUCAUCUUAAGUCUCAUCUUUUUUCCUUCUUUACAUCCUUUCAUAGAAACACCAUCUAAAAAAGACAUAGUUUUUUCAUAAACGAAGUCCCUCAAUAACUUACUCAUUUGUAACAGACAUACAUAUGUAAGCUGGUAACUACUUGUAUAAAUAAGUAGAAGUAGAUAGAAAUAGGUAAAAGUAAGUUAAUUCUAUAAUAUCUUCUAAGGAGGCUUCUUAGAAGCUCUAUAGAUGUUGCUUUGACUUUAUAGGUAUCCAUUGUUGACUUUUAGGUUAGAAACUUGGUCAACAAGUUAAUCAUGUACCAUACAUGUUGGUAGCUUGAAGAACAAGCUAAGUAUGUGGCGUACAUAUAGAAAAACUUACCUUGGAAAUGAAGACAUGUGUCCUACAAAGUCAACACAUAUUAGAGGUUCUAUGGAACAUCACCGUGUAGCCCCUAGUUAGAUAGUAUAUAUAAAGACAAGAAUAAAGCCUUCUUCACUCUUCUCAAUUUUUUUCUUACUUCUAGUCUAGUUUCAAGAGUCUCAAGUUUUCUUGUCUUUUUGCAAUAAGCCAUUCCAGUUUCUUUUUAAUAUAUUUACUUUCUUAUUUCUAUUUUGUCAUUUUUUUUUUAUACGGAUUUUAUUAGUUUAUGCAUCAUCUUCCAGUUCAUAUCCUUAACAUCAUUCUAUUCAUCAUAUGCACAAUUGAGUUUGUAGUACUUUAUAGAAGAAUAUAUAUUUUAAGCAAUCCAAAUGGCAUUUUCAUCAUUGUAAGAUUUCUACUCCCAUGUAUAAGUUAAAAUUGAUCAUAGCCCAAAUAUAAAUCAUCCAUUAAAGAAAUUAUUCUUCCUGCAAAUGCUUCAAUAAAUUCAUCUAUUAAAAGUCAUAUACUUGCAUUUUUAGUAGUUACUACAUUCAUUGGUUGCAUAUCUUGAAUAAAACAAAAUAAUCCAUUCUUUUUAGGCACUAUAAACCAAAAAUUAGAAUAUAGAGCAAAAUAAGGCUCUAAAAUCUUUAUUUGUAACUUUUCUUACAAUAAUUCUAAUAAUUUAAGCAAAUAAGCCUUUGAUAUAAGAAUUGGCCUUAAAUUCCAAGGCAUAUGUGGUACUAUGAAGAUAACUAUAGAAGCAAUAAUAUUAGGAUCUAUACAUUAUAUUUCAUAAGGUCCAAAAGCAAAUAAUUCAUGUUAUUUAGUAAGCAUUUUUUUUAAAUAUUCAAUUUUUGCUAGUAAUAAAGAACUAUCACAUCUAAUCAUCAAUUCUUCAAACAUUUCUUUUGUAAAUUAAUGUCUAAUAAUCUUUGGAUUUCUAAAACUUUUAUUUUUUGAUGCUUCUUCUAAUUAUUCUAUAAAAUCUUUUGAUAAAGGUCUGAUAAUAAACUUUACCUUCGUAACUAUUAUUUUAUAUUUUGUCUCUAUAAUAAUUUUUGGUGCUUAAAAAGAUUCAAGUAUAGGAUAAUUGUCACGGCCAUAAUCAUGUAAGCUAAUAAUUACAUAUAGAAAUAGGUAGAAGUAAGUAAAAAUAGGUAAAAGUAAGUUAAUUCUAUAAUAUUUAAUAUGGAAGCUUCCUAGAAGCUUCAUAGACGCUGCUUUGACUUCAUAGGUGUCUUUAAUUGACUUUUUGGAUUAGAAACGUGGUCAACAAGUUAGCCAUCUACCACACAUGUUGUUAGCUUGAAGAUCAAGCUAAUUAUGUGGUCCACACAUAGAAAAACUUGCCUUGUAAGUCAAGGCCUGUGUCCUACAAAGUCAACAUAUAUUGGAGGUCCUAUAGAACGUCGCCAUUUAGCCCCUAGUUAGAUAAUAUAUAUAGAGACAAGAGUGAAGGCUUCUUCACUCUUGUCAACUCUUUUCUUGCUUCUAGUCUAGUUUCAAGGGUCUCUAGUUUUCUUGUCUUUUGGCAAUAGCCAUUCCAGUUUCUCUUUCAAUAUAUAUACUUGUUUAUAUAUAUUUUGUUACCUCUCUUUGAGUGAAGGCUCACUUGUCUGAAUUGUUUUUUCAUCGAGUUCUUGUCCUUGACAGAUUGAUAAGAGUACACCUACAAUAUCAGAGCUUUGUCUAAUCUUGAUUAAGAGUGGAUUACCCCUUUUUCUUGAUAAGAUAUAAGCGUAUUAGAAGUUGUGGAUUACCCUCUUCUAAACUGAUAUAGUCUUUAGUAUUUUCUUUAUCCGCAAGUCCUCUCUUCUAUUUGUCUUGAGCGAUAUUAGACAUCUUCUCUCUUCUAAGUGUUAUCAUGGCAGAAUUUGUUGAAAUGAAGAGUGCAAUGGCACAAAUGCAAGAAAAAUUGAAGGAGUUAAUGCUUGCAAUGCAUCAACUCAAUUUACCACCACAAGGAGCAACAAGAUUGGCAGGAAGUGAAGAUAUAGAAAUGGUUGGAGCUGCUUCAACAUCUGCACCAAACCAUGUCCUUUCUCCUAUGGUGGAACGCCCUUCUAGUAUUAGAGAACCAAGAAUUAUCCUACCCGAGAAGUUUGAUGGCACCAUAUCCAAGUUUCGAGGAUUUAUCAAUCAAGUGUAACUUGUGAUCGAACUUCAACCCCAAAGCUAUCCAACUCCAGGAUCACAAGUUAGAUUCAUUGGUAUGCUUCUUUCAGGUUCGGCACUAUCGUGGUUUUCAUCUUUUCUUGAACGACGAGAUCCAAUAUUGGAUAAUCUAGAGGCUUUUUUGGCAGAGUUUUGAUCCAUGUAUGGAGAACAUGAUGCAAUUCGUGUUGCAACCAAUAAGAUUCAUAUUUUACGACAAGACAAUCGAUCAGUAACGUUAUAUGUUUCACAAUUUUGACAACUUGCAACUGAUAUCAAGUGGGAUGAUGCUGCACUUAUUAGCCAAUUUCUCUACAGAUUACAAUAUUAGGUAAAAAGUAAUGCUCAACUUACCUGAUCCUCAAACAUUGAGUCAAGCAAUUGACUUUGUUGUGAAGUGCGACAAUCGCCUUUUUGAAUUUCGAUCUGAGAACCAAGCAAGUGGACCUCAACGUUACUAUAAUUCAAUGGCAACACCAACACCUCUUCAACACAUAUAUUCGGAAGUAGAGGAUAUGCAAAUUGAUGUAGUACGUUUCAAACCUCUUACUGAGCAAAAAAAGACUUCUCGUCGUGAAGAAGGAUUAUGUUUAUAUUGUGGAGAACCAAAGCACACUGCUCAACAUUAUCCAAAGAAAUGACGCAAUCACAAAAUGAAGACUAUGGCUGUGAAAGAAGAUAAUAUGUCAGAAAACGAGUUUGUCCAUUUACUAUAGGGACCGUGCGGUUGGAACCUUGCACAACUUCUAGUAAAGGUCCUAUUCUCUCCUCAGAGCCCUUUCCUUGUUUUACAUUAAAUAUUAUUUUAGGACCUAAACAUUACAAAGUCUCUGCCUUGUUAGAUUCAAGAGCCCCAGUGUGUUUUUUAGAUGAAGAAUUUACUAAAAGAAAUAGCAUAUCUUUAGUAAAGAAAACUAAAUCUGUUCAUGUAGAAGUCAUAGAUGGUCGUCCAUUAUCUUCUAGAGAUAUUACUCACGAAACCCUUCCUAUAGAAGUAAUAAUCAAUGGUCAUAAUAAUUUUGUAGUAUUUAAUAUCAUUAGAUCUCCCUCUAAUCCAAUCAUUUAAGGUUUAUCGUGGUUAGAAAAAUACAACCCUCAAAUAGAUUGGAUUUCCCGAACUCUCACUUUCUCUAAAAGUAUAACUAACAAUGUAGUUAAGCAAGUAGAGAGUCAUAAGUCUAGUUCAAUUAAACCCGUAUUUAUAGGUGCAAAAGCUUUCUUGCAUAUUGUUAUGAAAGAAUCACCAUAUAUUAUUUAUGCUACACCCGUUUCUACUGGUAAAAAGACUUCAAGUGGCAUUCCAAGCCAAUAUCAAGAAUUUCAAGAUGUAUUCGAAAAAAAGAAUGCGGAUACACUCUCGGAACAUCGUCCCUAUGAUUGCUCAAUUGACCUUGAAGUAGGAGCACAACCACCAUUCGGACCAAUCUAUAGUUUAUUACAAAAUGAGGUGACUGAACUCAAGGAGUAUAUUGAAGAAAAUCUAGCCAAGAAUUUCAUACGCCAUUCUAAAACUCCGGCAGGAGCUCCAAUUCUAUUUGUGAAGAAAAAAGAUGGAUCAUUGCGGAUGUAUGUUGAUUAUCGAGGACUCAAUAAGAUUACCAUCAAAAACAGGUGUCCACUACCUUUAAUAUUCGGACUUCUUGAUCAGCUGAAUCAAGCUAAGAUCUAUACAAAAAUAGAUCUUCGGGGAGCAUACAAUCUAGUACGCAUCAAAGAAAGAGAUGAAUGGAAGACUGCGUUUCGAACUAGAUAUGGACAUUUUGAAUACAACGUCAUGUCUUUUGGACUUACAAAUGUACCAACAGCUUUUCAACAUCUAAUGAAUGAUAUUUUUUGAGAGUUUUUGGACGAUUUUGUGGUAUGUUUUCUAAACAACAUCUUGAUCUAUUUUAAGAAUCCAAAAGAACAUGAACUUCAUGUUCGUCAUGUGUUACAAAAAUUAAGAGAUGCAGGACUCUAUGCCAAGAUAGAAAAGUGUGUAUUCCACACUACUCUAGUCAAUUUCUUAGGUUACAUCAUUUCAAAUGAUGGACUUAUGAUGGAUCCUAAGAAAGUUCAAACUAUUAUAGACUGGAAGAUCCCAAAAACGGUAAGAGAUGUCCAAUAUUUUUUGGGAUUUGCCAACUACUAUCUGAUCUUCAUCAAAGACUUCUCUCGAGUUGCAGCUCCACUUACACGUUUGACUUGUAAAGAAAAACUCCAAUGAAAUCAAGAAGCGGAAGUUGCUUUUGAAUCUUUCAAGACAACAUUUGUUUCUGCACCAAUCUUGUAUAGUGUUGAUUUUUCCAAAGCAUUCUUAAUGAAAAUACAUCCAUCAGACUUUGCUCUGGUGCAGUUUUAUCACAAAUGGGAACAGAUGACAAACUUCAUCCAGUAGCCUUUCAUUCAAGAAAAUUCUCAGAAGCAGAAAUCAAUUAUGAGAUCCGCGACAAAGAACUUCUUGCAAUUGUGGAUUCUUUUCAAGAAUGGCAUCAUUAUCUAGAAGGCGCUUCUAGUCCAGCCACCGUGUAUACGGAUCACAGAACCUCGAAUAUUUUAUGUCAGUACGCGUAUUAAAUCGUCAUCAAGCUUGCUGGAGCAUGUCUUUAUCAAGAUUCGAGUUCAUCAUCACUUAUCGGCCAAGAAAACAACAAGGUUUAUCCGAUGCCUUAUCUAGACGUUCUUAUCUUGCAUCAAAAGAAGGAAAUGCAGCUUUUGAGCAACAAAGAACGGUUCUCUUGAAGCCGGAAUAAUUUCAUCUUUGAGCAAUAAAAUCAACAUUGACUGUUGAUUUAACUUUCCUUAAGCAAGUCCAGUUAAGUAUGUCUUCAGACCCUCUUGUUUAUGAUAUCAAGAACAAUUCUUCUAAAUCUCAUGAUUCAUCUAAAUUUGAAUUCAAGAAAAACCUACUCUAUUUCGAAGGACGCCUAUAUGUUCCAAAAGGAGAAGCACGUUUACGUGUUCUUCAAGCUCAUCACGACUUCCCAGCAGUAGGACAUUUCGGAUACAAGAAGACUUUGGAGCUGAUAUCUAGGGAUUUUUGGUGGCCUCAAAUGUGGAAGACAAUUAAAGAUUUUCUACAAUCAUGUGAUGUUUGCUCAAGAUCGAAAACUCCUCGUCAUCGACCUUUUGGACUUCUUCAGCCAUUACCCAUUCCAGAACAACCAUGGUCUUCUGUUUCUAUGGACUUCAUCACGGAUCUUCCAAUCUCAGGUUCUUAUGACUCUAUAUUCGUGAUAGUAGAUCAUUUUACCAAGAUGGCACAUUUUGUACCAUGUACAAAAUCUAUCUCAAGUAAAGAAACAGCUAAGCUCUUUCUUGACAAUAUCUAUCGCUAUCAUGGAUUACCCAAGGAUAUUAUAUCAGAUAGGGGAAUUCAAUUUGUAUCAAGAUUUUGGCGGAUUCUUUUCAAGAUUCUUAAAGUGGAUAUAAAACUAUCUUCGGCAUUCCAUCCUCAAACUGAUGGACAAACGGAGUGUGUUAAUCAAGUUUUGGAGCAAUAUUUAAGAUGUACUAUUAAUUACCAACAAGAUGAUUGGACAACUCUUUUGCCAUUGGCAAAGUUUGCUUACAAUAACAUGGUACACUCUUCUAUAAAACAAACACCUUUCUUUGCUAAUUAUGGUUAUCAUCCACGACUUGAUACUUUUGACUUUUCAAAAGUUGAUAAUCCUACUGGAAAAGAUUUGGUGAUUCAUUUAUCAAAGCUACAUGCAACGAUGAAAGCGCAGUUAAAAGAGGCUCAAGAACAACAAAAGAUUAAUGUGGAUGUCUAUUGAAAGAAACAACCACCAUUCCUCUUGGGUGAUAAGGUAUGGCUACUUUGUCGCAAUAUCAAGACCACUCAUCCUUGUGACAAGUUGGACUAUCGAAGGCUGGAACCAUUUUCUAUUUCUGUACAAAUCAAUCCAGUUGCAUAUUGUUUACAUCUAUUGGUGUCGUGUUGUAACACGAGUAUACAGUGAAAAUAAAAAGAAAGGGGAAUUUUAUAAAUAUUCAGUUACCUCGAAUAUUGGGAGCAUCAACCAACUCCAGUACAAAUACUGAGUGGUCAGAUUCAGUCACUCCGUUACAGUCAGCCGGGGCAUACUGAAAUGCUCCGUUUGAUUCUAAUAACGGGAGUCAGCAGGAAGAGAAGGACCAAUUCACACGACGGGUUCGAGGAGCCAAUUGGAUCCAAUUUCGAUAAUCCAAUCCGGGUCCUCUUAUCCAAUAUGAGACCUGAAUUGGCCGGUCAACCCAAUGCAGUCUAAUUACGGGAAAUCCAGGUCUUACUAUGGGUCUUAGCCAAUCUGACGCGAGGACCAAUUUGACCCAAUUACAGAACAUCUAGGUUACUACGGGCAUCUUUCCCAAUAUAGGACCUGAAUUGGUCGGGCGACUCAAUGUGGUCCCGAUUACGGGGUUCGAUUCUGUUUCAGGCUGUCCUGUUCUCUGUGCCAUUUCAGGAAACGUUGUUUACGGUAAAUGGAUCUCUUAAAGGUAAAAACGGAGGAGAAAGCUUGACGGCGAGAGCCAAUUUCGGAUCCAAGCUUGAGGUGGGAGCCAAUUUCGAAUCUAAGACGGAAGAUUGGAGAAAUUCAGAGGAUAAGGUUAGGGGGGAAUCAGGGGGGAGCUAGUUUUCAAAGCUUUUGCAAGGUUACCAGUUCUGUUUCAUUGGAGGUUUUUGAAGAUCAAGGGAAUUAGAGAGAGGAGCUUCAUGCUUCGGGUCGGGGAAGGAAAGACAUAGAAUUUGGAUUUUUCUUCUUCGUAGAGUUUUGGGAAGACUGAGGCAAUCGCUGCUGAAGUCAGUGUUGUAAUGGUGAAUCGGGAUUUUUAAAUGAAGUGGGUUUGAAUACUCUUGACUGUUUUGUAAAAUCGAGUUACGUCUGUGAUUGAAAGAUUAAAGGGGUGUCUAUAGGAUUGAGUAUGCGGAGUGAAUGAAAUUUAUUGGGUUAAUCUAACAGGACAGUCAGUGGAUACAAGAUCGUAAGUACAAAGGGGUAUUGAAGAUUAACAGUUUGGAUUGUUCGGGGUUCUCUGUAACGUCUAGAGACCUAUCGGCUGGGGCAAAAAAAAAAAAAAAGACUUCGACAAGCAGUCGAAGAGCAUCCGUAUAGAUUUACGGUACAUUGUUGCAGUCGUUUAUAUUCCAGCAGUCAAAAACUGAUAGAGUGCUUCACUAUCGGCGAAUCUCCAUACUACCUUCUACAGCCAGACGCCCGGCGCGUUCUCGAGCAGAAAAGCACGUAAUUUGACACCGGGAUCAAUGAAAAUCCAUCCAGUAUUCCACGUGUCUCUUUUUGAACCAUACAAGAUAGUGGACAUACCAAGAAGAUGACAAGCUCCACCUCCUCCUAUAGAAGUAAACAAUAAUGAAGAGUUUGGAGUAGAAGAAGUCUUAGAUUCAAGGCGAUGCCAAAAUAAAUUAGAAUAUCUUGUCCAUUGGCGCGGAUAUGGUAUUAGUGAACGUACAUGGGAGCCAAUAAAAAAUCUUGCAAAUGCAGCAAAGGCGGUAGAGGCUUUUCAUCGAUGACAUCCAUCAAAAUCAAGAUGAAAACUUUCUUUAUGAAAGAAACAACAUCUAGGCAAGAUAACAUUCUACUUUCAAUUCUUGUUUGUAGCUUCAUUGUAGUAGUGGCGCUCAGGAGAUGGAAAACCAACAACCAACGGAUUCAAUUCAAGAGCCUUCAUUUGCUGACCUGUCGGACGAGACAUUACGAUUGUCACAACCUUCAAGACGAUGUAAUCGAGAUGAAGAUCUUCAAGAACGACAUGUUCUUCCUCGAAUAGAUGGUGAGAUACAACGCGUUUGGUAUCACUAUUUGGGAAGGGACUCCUGAUGUUUGGUGAUUUUGCUAGAGAUAGGAACAACUCCUGAUGGUGUUCCAAAUAUUCUAUUCGAAAGAAGUUACGAAGGCCUCAACAAUGAUCAAAUAACUGGGUGGUCUUCCUGCCCUGGUAUGGGACACUACCGAUGGUUGAGAGGUCUUAUCAAUCAUCUUCGAAGAGAACAGAGAUCAGAGUAUGUGGCAAAUACAAUUUGUCGCAUCAUAGAUUUUUUCAACAUAUGAUGACCGCUCCUCGUGGAACUCGUCCCUAGAAGGGGGGGUAAUGUCACAGCCAUAAUCAUGUAAGCUAAUAAUUACAUGUAGAAAUAGGUAGAAGUAAGUAAAAGUAGUUAAAAGUAAGUUAAUUCUAUAAUAUUUAAUAUGAAAGCUUCUUAGAAGCUUCGUAGACGCUGCUUUGACUUCAUAGGUGUCUUUAAUUGACUUUUUGGAUUAGAAACGUGGUCAACAAGUUAGCCAUCUGCCACACAUGUUGUUAGCUUGAAGAUCAAGCUAACUAUGUGGCCCACACGUAGAAAAACUUGCCUUGUAAGUCAAGGCCUGUGUCCUACAAAGUCAACACAUAUUGGAGGUCCUAUAGAACGUCGCCACGUAGCCUCUAAUUAGAUAGUAUAUAUAGAGACAAGAGUGAAGGCUUCUUCACUCUUGUCAAUUCCUUUCUUGCUUUUAGUCUAGUUUCAAGGGUCUCUAGUUUUCUUAUCUUUUGGCAAUAGCCAUUUCAAUUUCUCUUUUAAUAUAUAUACUUGUUUAUAUAUAUUUUUUUACUUCUCUUUGAAUGAAGGCUCACUUGUCUGAAUUAUUUUUUCAUCGAGUUCUUGUCCUUGACAAUAAUUCUCCCUUGAAUGAAUAUUUAUAAUCAUAUGAUCAUCUUCUAAUCCAAUAGAUAUAAUUAAUUCUAAAAAAUAUUCUAAUCCAUUUUCUUCAUAAACAACAAAAAUCCUUGCAUCAUCUUUUAAUAUUUAUUAUUUGUAUAAUUCUUUUUCUUAUAUAUAUAUAUUAAAUCCUCAACUUUCUUAUACAUAUUAUCUCUAAUUUCAAAAAUACUAAUAAAAAUUGUAUCAAAGGUACCUACAUCUUGCAAGAAUUCCUUCUCUUUUGUAUCUCAUAAUCCUAAUUUGCAGUGGUAUUUUUCCAAAAUCCUUAAAUUUUUCUAUAAUUCUUAGCAAUAGUGUCACAAUACGAGAAGUCUUGCUCAAAAAUGCAUCAAGCACUUGACUAUGGAAGAUAGAAUGGAAAUUGUAACAAAAAAAUCUUAAUCCUAAUAAAAUAUUAAAUGACUUUAAUUAAACCUUAAUAAUGCUAAUCAAAAUUUAAUCAAAUUCAAAAGAAACUUUAAAGAAAUUACAAAGGAAAAAAUAAAAAAUCUUAAAGAAAAAAAAAAAAAAAAAAAAUCAUAAUAAACCUUAAAAGAAUCGUUAAAAAAUCUUAGAGAAAUAUUAAAAUAAUCACAUAUAUUUCUUAAAUAAACUCAAUCAAGUCCUAAUUUAAUCGUAGUUGAAAUCUUAAUAGACUUCAAUCAAAUUCUAGAUCAAAUCCUAAAUCCUAAAUAAAUUGUAAACCUUAAAUCUUAAGCAAACCUUAAAUUUUAAGUACUAAAUCAAAUCCUAAAUCCUAGUCCAACCCUAGAUCCUAUUCAAAUCCUAAAUCAUAUUCCAAUCUCAAACCUAAAACAAAUCCUAAAUCCUAAUGCAACUCUAAUUCUAAAUCAAAUCCUAAAUCUUAGUCCAAUUUUAAAUCCGAAUUCAAUCCUAAAUCCAAAUCCAACCCAGCUCUAAAUCAAAUCCUAAACCUUACUUUAACCCUAAAUUUUAACCAAAUCCUAUAUCCUAUUCCAAUUUUAAUCCUAAACCAAAUCCUAAAUUCAAAUCCAAUCCUAAAUCCUAAUCAAAUUCUAAAUUCAAAUCUAAUCCUAAAUCCUAAUCAAAUCCUAAAUUCAAAUCCAAUCCUAAAUCCUAAUCAAAUCCUAAAUUCUAAUCCAAUCUUAAUCCUAAAUCAAAUCCUAAAUCCUAAUCCUAUUCUAAAUCCUAACCAAAUCUUAAUCAAAUCCUAAACUCUAAUCCAACUUUAAUCUUAAAUCAAAUCUUAAUCCUAGUCCAACCUUAAAUCUUAACCAUAUCCUAUCAAUAUAGAUCCUUGUACCGUUAUUAAGUUAAAGAAGUUAAAACUCUAAUGGAUUAAGAUGAAUAUUGUCUUAUAAUUAUACAAAUAAAAUUUUCACAUAUGUUGGAUUAAAUUGAAAGUAAGAGCCAUCUAAUACACCACAAACAAGAGAUUGUAAACUUAGGUCUUUAUUAUAUUAAUUUCCUAUCUUCUUUCUUUCUUUAUUUGAGCUAUAAGUAUUUAAUAUCUUAUAUUCUUAUGAUGAUUUAUUGAUUAUCAAUCUAUAAUGAAAUUAAUCAACACUUCUCAUAUAAAUUCAUAAAGAGAUGAUAUUUGAGCUCAUCACAUUGUCAUUUGGUUUGUUUAUCAAAUUUGUAAGAAAUAUUAAUGUGGAUUGAUUAAUAAUUUUUUUGCUAAAAAAAAAUACUUGAUCUUAUUUUAUUGCUUACAAGUAUUUAAUACAAUAAUAUUAGUGAUUUGAGUAUAUUUUCCAUCUAAAUAAUGAAUUCAAAAUAAAAACAAAGUAUUAAAUUUUUUUUUAUCUCCUUUUAUCUAUAAAGAUGAUACAAUUGCAAAAAUAACUUUGAAUAAUUACAUGUCAUUGAUAGCCAUUGCAGAGAAAAAAAAAAUAAUAAAUAAAAAAUACAUGUAAUUUGUUUGAUAUCUUUUUCAUACACAUUACUUGCACAUAGAAGAAAAACACAGUCAUACUUUUGACAUCUCUAUACAAUCAAUUAGAAGGAAUCAAUGCUCUUUUAUCAUGCUAAUUAAAUUAAGUCAUAUUGCAACUUAAAAGUAAUUCUUUACAAACCUAAGAAUCUCUCAAAUUGUGUCCAAGUCAAAUGUUUUUUCUCUUUGUGAAAAAGUAUAGUGAGGUGGAAUGUGAUAUAAACUUAUGGUUUUAACGAUGGCAACAUAUCCAGGGUGAAUGGAUAUGUUGAAGUUUUGACGAAAUCCACUCCACCUAUAGACUGGAUGGGUCAAGUUGCUAGUAAAAAUAUAUGUUUUUUUGAAGGCUUCAUGCACACAUGGCGACCCAUCUCGGAUGGAGCGCUUGACGUCCCCGGAUGGUAAUGUAAUCACACCUAAAUGGAGCUCAAAAGAGAAUAGGGACCUGUCCACACUGACAAAUAUGGCAGUAGAAGAGCCUAUAUUCUUACCCCGUGAUGGAUGCAUGGAUUCUCAUCGUUGUGUGAAUGCAUCGAGGGGUUCCGGUGCCGGAAGGGCCCACAGUCCAAGAAGGGUGGAUCUGGUGGCAUGGCGCCCUUCAGUUAGCCACCGAUCGGAGAGCUCUUGCCACGGAAGAAAUCCGUGGUGGCAGAGUUCUCCAAGGGACCGCAUCAUGAAAAAGCAUGGCAGACGAGGAGAGUGACGAUGCGGCCCUGCGGUGAAUCGGUAAUCGAGGGAAACGCCCCCGUGCUUCCAGCCCCCACCUGAGCCUUCGAUCCCUUCUUUCUGACUGGACGAUGCUCGGAUUUGGUUUCGUGUUUACUGGCAUGGUGGUGUCUGGAGUCUCCACCCACCUGGAGACCGAAUCCGCCGGGUAACGGCUUUCGCAGAAGACAGAUCCCGACUCCACGGGUGAACUACUCGGCAAGUCACUCGUUUGUAAAUCUGUUCUGUUACGAGACUAACCUCGCUGCACUCCGGCGCAGCAGCAAUUGCGAUGCUGCCGUCCUCCCGAUCAGCGGUGGUUCAUAAGGCCUGCAAAUAUCUGGGUCACGGAACACUGUGCGAUGUUGUAUAACCUGGGAUUCCAAAAUUUCGUGACUGAAAACCUGGCUCUCAUGAGUUGCCUUGCAUUUGCGACUGCGUUUCCUCCGCUCGCAACAUUAUAUCAGCGUUGGCUCGGCGACUUUCUAAUGACUUGGAUCUGCUGUGGCUGGUGGCUGUGAUCCUGAGAUAAAAAUUUCAAGUUGUCUACACUUAGCUCGCGUUUGGCACAUUCACGUAAAGCAGAGGAGAUUGUCAUGUGCUCUCUUUGCAGUUAGGUCUUGUGUCCCAGUUGAGAGUGAUCACUGUCAGGGUUAUGUAAUAUCCUUGACAGCAAUCACUCUCAACUUCACCGUUUCUGUUAUCUGUUAAGCAAUAUCUAUCAUUAAAUUCCUUGGGACGUUGCAUUGUAAGAUGGUGAGCGCAGAAGAGUACAAGAAUGGAUACAAUCCGGCUAUUACUACUCAAUGCAAUUAAGUCAAUGCAGAAAGGGGAAUCCCGAUUCGAGGCUAUGAUGAAAGACACUAGUUUUUCGAGUACCUUUCCUUUCCACAUGACUCUUACUCGAACAUCAAAAGUUUGUUUUUCAUGCCUGCACAAGCGAUAAGUCUUGAAUUUGAUCUCAUAUCAAAACGAAUUCAACUAAGAGGAAAUGUGGACAUUUGCACUUGAUUAAACUAUCUGUAGAAAUUGUUCAGAAGAUGAACAGACAAAUCUCUAAGUUCAGAUUCAGACUACUGACCUGCUGAGUCAGUGCAGAUCGGCUGAAGCAAUACCACUGUGAUUUAGAGCUUCAAUCUUUGUGUGCCGAUGUGAAGCAGGCGAGCAUGACAUAUUCCACGAUGUGAUUUAAUUCCCCGAAAAAAUUUCCAUGGUCAGUUGUAUUUCAGCCCAGAGAAGUGGAAUCGACCUUUGACCUCUUAGUCCUAAGAUCCCCUCUUUUCUAUACUGAUAGCAAGAGCUCUCCCGAGUGGUACAGAUUUGGAUGUAACUCACUUACAAUUUUGAAUAUACAAAACCUGUAGCCAUUCAAAUUCAAUAGCAAUUGCAUUGAACUAAGCCAACGUCAUAUGAUGCUAUGAAAUUCAAUGUUAUCAGUGUGUCACAUUAAGACUAGUGUGAGUGAGUGUGAAUAUGUGUAUGUAUGUAUAAUUGAAUAUUGCUAUUUUCCAAUGUCUAUUAAUACCAGUAUUAAAGUAAAUAGAAGAUAAGUUAGAAGCUAAAAGAUAUUAUCUUAGAUAAGUUGCUAAUGGUCAAAGGGCAGCAAAAGGAUGAAAGAAAGUUACCAAGGUGAUGGCUAGAUUAAGAGGAAUCUAGGAUUUAGUUGGAUGAAAGUAAGAUGAAUAUUAGCCAAAAUGGAUGUAACCUCUACCUAUAAGUAAAGGGUGUUGGAAGUAAGAGGUAUCUCAUUAAACACUUCUCUUGUGUCUAACCUUGCUGAUUUCUACUUACUUGUGUCUUACUUAUUGUGUUUGUUCAAUAGGUUAUGGGCCCACACACACUUUGUUGUGCUAUUUAAAUAAAUUGAAGUCAUUUGCUAGUUGUUGUUCUUGUGUGGAAUAGAUCUUAUGGUGUUUACUGAUGUUAGAGAUUGUAUGAUUUAAUCUAGUGUUUUGACUUGUGGAGGUUCUGAUUUGGGCCUUAUAGAUCUCUUACAUCAAUUUGAAGGUUCUUAACUCCUAGGAUUGAGUGAUUAAGACCUUAUACAAAGACCUUGAUAAUGUCUUUGAUUUUGUGGUGAGAAAGUGAAUUUUAUGAGUGGAAGAACUUGAUAGUGAGGUUGAUUGAAAUUCACAUACUUGUUAGAAGCUUCAAAAGUUGAUUUUGGAGUGUUUGGAGUAAGAGUAAAGAAACAUUCAUUUGUUCAGAAGAGGGCAUUUUGAGAUUUUGCUAGUACAAAAUUGUUUUAGUGAUUUUAAGCACAUAGAGACUCUUUUUCUUGAUAUUUUUUGAUAGACCUCUUCUAAGACAUGGCUUCAAGUGACGGUGAAGAUUUGAGAGUGAUUGAAAAGUUUAGAGGUGACAAUUUCUACCAUUGGAAGGUCAAAAUGGAGCUUUUAAUGGCGUCUUUGGAUCUUUGAGACAUUGUAGAUGAAAGUGAAGAGCCUCCAAGCACACAUGCUAAUGCUAAAGAGAGAAAGGACUUCACAAGACGAGAAAAGAAGGCUUUUGACAUGAUUGCCACCAAUUUGGAUAAAGCCAACUUUUCUCACAUCAUCUCUUGCAAAGGACCAACAGAAGCAUGGAAGACUCUUUGCAACAUAUAUGAGAACAAGAACUUGUCCAAUAUCAUCUUCACAAGGAGGAAAUUCUUCACUUGCAAGAUGGAAGAAGGUGAAGACCUCAUGGCUCAUGUCAACAAGAUAAAAGCCCUUACUAAUCAACUUACUAUUGUUGACAAGCCUUUAGAAGAGAGUGAUAUUGUCAUGACCUUGCUUAUGAGUCUUCCCGAGUCCUACAACUACCUCAUUGUGGCAUUGGAGUCCAUCAAGCUAAAAGAACUCACAAUGGAUUAUGUGACGGCAAGACUUGCCCAUAAAGUGACCAAGAGAAAAGAAAAAGAUCCCCAAAGUGAGGAUUCGGCUCUCUUUUCAAGGCAAGGCAAGGAGAGUCAUCUCAACCAACGUGGCAAUGUAAGAACUUACUUCAUUUGUGGAAAACCAAGUCACUUUGCUCGAAAUUGCUACAAAGCUAAGAAAGGAGAUAGAAAAAGUGCAAACAAUGCUCGUGAUGAAUAUGGAGGUGAUGAUUAUGCAUUCAUGGCAAGUGAAGGCACUUCCAUGGCUGCCAUGUCCAAGUGGAUUAUUGAUUCUGGUGCCACCAAAUAUAUGACUCCAUACAAGUGUUUCUUUGAUACUUAUGAAGAGAUUUCAACAACAAAUAUCCUCAUGGGAGACAAUGGUAUAGUAUAAGCUAUUGGAAUGGGCUCCAUUUUUAUAGAGAUUGUUGUAAAAGGCCAAACCAAGAGGAUCAGAUUGAAGGACAUCUCAUAUGUGCCAAAGAUGAAGAAAAACCUCCUCUCGAUGAAUAAACUUGUUUUACAUGGUUGUAAAGUGCAAUUUGAUAAGAAUGGGUGUUUUGUAAAGAUAUUGAAAGGAGAUCAUAUUACAAAGGGCUUUAGAGAUGGCAACCUCUACUUCAUCAAGUACAAGAUUGGAAUGGAGUUGAAGUGGCGGCAUUUGCUAAAUUUCCUCAAGAUCAAGACAAGUUUGGUAUUUGGCAUCCAUGCCUUGGUCAUUUGAAUGCCAAGAGCAUGAAGGAGCUCCAAUCCAUGGUAAGUAGCUUAGAUCUUAGUCAUAUAAGCCACAAUGCUAUAACACUUGCUUGUGAAGGUUGUAUUCAAGGCAAACAACAAAUGGCCUCAUUUCCAAGUCGAAUUGCAACAUGUGCAACCAAGUUAUUGGAGAUUGUCCAUUCAGAUGAUUGUGGACCUAUGAAGAUGCCAUCAAUAAGAGGUGCAAGGUAUUUUGUCACAUUCAUUGAUGACUUUUCAAGAAAAGUAUGGAUUUUGAUCCUCAAAGCAAAGAAUGAAUAUUUCAUAAGGUUUAAGGAGUUUAAAGCACUUGUGGAGAAGCAAUGUGAAUGUAAUAUCAAGGUAUUGCAUAUAGACAAUGGAAGUGAGUAUAUGUCAAAGCAAUUCAAUGAUUUCUUGAAGAUGCAUGGUAUUGCAAGACAACCUCCAUUCCUUACACUCCACAACAAAAUGGAAUUGCUAAAAGAGCAAAUCAAACCAUUGUAGAGAUGGCAAGGAAUAUGCUUCAUGUAGAACACCGUAGACAUGAGUUUUGGAUGGAAGUAGUAGUGAAUGCAGUGUACACAAGAAAUAGUUGUCCUAUAAGUGCACUUAUAUCAAUGACACCAGAAGAAGCUUGAAGUGGGAGAAAACCUUGUGUUUUUCAUAUGAAGACCUUUCGAUGCAUAGCAUAUGCAAAGAUACUAGAUUGUAUGAGAUUAAAAUUUGAUGCAAAAGGUACAAAAUGUGUGCUUGUUGGAUAUUGUGAAGGUACAAAGGUUUAUAGGCUCAUGUGUUUGAAGACUAAAAAGAUCAUCAAAAGUCGUGAUGUUGAGUUUUUGGAACACAAGAGUGCUUGUGAGCACUUAGAGAUGUGUCUAAGUAGAAGUAAUGGUAUGUUUGUGGACACAUCUUCAAAUUCAGCAAAGAAGGAAGAAGACAAAGACAAUGAUGGUUGUAAAGGUAGAAAUGAAGAUGUAGAAGCAAAGAAGGUGGACAAGAAGGCCUCUACAAUUGCUAAAACCAGCAAUGAAGAGCAUGAAGAUGUUGAUGAUGAUGGUGAUGAGGAUUAUGAAUCUUUGAAUGAAAAAAGACUAUCUUCAAAAGUAAAGAAGGUUGGAGGUGACCAUGGAGUGCAACAAGUUGAGUCUUCUUCAAAUGAAAGGAGAUAUUCUUUGAGAGAUAGAAAACAACGUGGUGAAUAGUGGAAGGACCACAUUUUUCCUCAAGUAAGUAAAAAACAUGCCAAUGUUGUACUUCUUACUGAUCCGUUGAGUUUAUGUGAUGCAAUGAAGUCUACGGAUGCUAUGAAGUGGGAGAAUACUAUAGAAGAAGAGUAAAAAUCAGUCAUGGACAAUGGAACAUGGAAAUUGACUCAACUUCCACCAAAUCGAGCUUCAAUUGGUUGUAAGUGGGUAUUUAGAACCAAAAAGGAUGCAAUGGAUAAUAUUGUGAGGUAUAAGGUAAGAUUGGUUGCCAAAGGCUACUCACAAGUUGCUGGUGUUGAUUUCAAUGAGACAUUUGCUCCCAUGGCCAAAUUCACCACCAUUAAAACCAUUGUAGCAGCAAUGGACUUGGAGAUACACCAAAUGGAUGUGAAGACUGCUUUCUUGAAUGGAGAAUUGGAAGAAGACAUUUACAUAGAUCAACCUCAAGGAUUUGUUGAAGAAGGCAAAUAACAUCUUGUGUGUAAGUUGAAGAAAUCCUUGUAUGGACUCAAGCAAUCAUCAAUGGCAUGGUACCAACGUAUCAACACAUUCUUUGUGAAUGAGGGAUUUGUGAAGAAUUAGGCUGAUCAUUCCAUGUAUGUGAUGCAAUCAAAAAUCUUCUUGCUGAUUGUUAUUCUUUAUGUUGAUGAUAUGAUCAUUUUGACCAAUACUUUGAAAAAGAUGGAUUGGUUGAAGGCAAAGUUAGCAAAAGAAUUUGAAAUGAGUGAUUUGGGAGAGCUCCACUAUUGCUUAGGAGUAGAAUUUGUGAGAGAUUGAGCUAAGAAGAUCAUUACAUUGAGCCAAAAGAAGUACAUUAAAGAAGUGUUAAAACAGUUCAACAUGGAGGAGUGCAAGUCCAUUGGAACACCUUUGGAGGCAAAUUUGAAGUUGAUGAAGCUUACAGAUGAGGAAUUUGCUGAAGUUGAAGAAGAAAUAAAAGAUGUUCCAUACAAGGCAGCAGUAGGCUCACUUAUGUAUGCAAUGGUUGGUACAAGGGUGGAUCUUGUAAAUGCGGUGAGUGUUGUAAGUCAACACAUGUUAAAAGCUGGACUAAUUCAUUGGGCAAUCAUUACGAGGAUCUUGAUGUACUUAAAAGGCACUUUGAACUUCAAAUUAUGUCUUGGAGGUGAUAGUAUUACAUUGCAUAGAUAUUGUGAUGUAGAUUGGGCUAGAGAUGCAAAUGAUAGAAGAUCAACAACGAGAUAUGUAUUCUUUGUUGGAGUAGGAGCAAUUUCAUGGAAUUGUAAUAGACAACUAACAAUUGCAAGGUCUACAAUGGAGGCGGAAUACAUGGCAGUAAGUCAUGGUGUAAUAGAGGCAAUAUGGCUAAAACAAGUUUUAGAAGACAUUGGACUUCUGCAAUUGGAAGCAACUCGAAUGAAGUGUGACAAUCAAGGAUGUCUUGCUUUUGCCAAGAAUCCAAAGCAUCAUUCAAGGACAAAAUACAUUGACAUUCAACAUCACUUCAUAUAGGAGAAGAUUGAGAUGGGAGUACUUGACAUGAAAUAUUGUGCAACGAAAGACAUGCUUGUUGAUUUACUCACAAAAGCAUUGGUAAAGGAUAGACAUUACAAAUUGAUAAAGGGAUUAAGUUUAUUAGCCUUUAAUCAAUAGCAAAGUAGGAGUGUUAAAGUAAAUAGAGGAUAAAUUAAAAGGUAAAAGAUAUUAUCUUAGAUAAGUUGCUAAUGGUCAAAGGGCAGCAAAAGGAUGAAGGAAAGUUACCAACGUAGCAGCUAGGAUUAUAGGUGGCAGCUAAGUUAAGAGAAAUCUAGGAUUUAGUUAGAUGAAAGUAAGAUGAAUACUAGCCAAAAUGGAUGUAACCUCUACCUAUAAGUAAAAGGUGUUAGAAGUGAGAGGUAUCUCAUUCCACACUUCUCUUGUAUCUAACCUUGUUGAUUUCUACUUACUUGUAUCUUGCUUAUUGUGUUUCUUCAAUAACCAGCUUAUUACCCUAAGUUUUGUGGUUGUGUUGUUCUCUUGAUUAUGUUUGAGGGGAUAUGGUGACAGAGAAGGAAGCUGGGAAGGAAGGAAGGUGGUGACAGAGAAGGAAGCGAGGAAGGAAGGAAGUGUGUUAUACAACAUGGAAGAAUAUACUCACAAUGAGAGAGUUCCUAACGUUUGUUAAUCAUCUACUUGAACAAGUUUUGGAAGACAAGAAUUCGGAAAAAAUGCUCACCACAGUAUUCGGAGAAAAUGUACAUCACAGCUGAUACGAUAUUUUCACAGCGUCUGUGAUGUAAAAUCUCCUGCAAACAAUCCAGAAAGUCGAUUGGACGCUCUCUGCAAAUUCGUCGUGCUAGCUCUAGUACAAGAUGGUAUAUUCGUUCAUGGCUGUGACGCACUAUUGAAGUUCAACACAUUCACUCACAGAAACCCACAACACAGAAUGUGACUACAAUUACUCAGCAUAUGCUCUUGAUUCAUAUAUACAGAAACCGCCUUUAAGUCACAGCAGCACUAUUAGCUAAACUCUGUGCUAGCGGAAUUACAAACCCACUGUAAAGAAUGAUUACUCUUAACUGUACAUUAGCUUAUAUACUGGUAGUAUUGAUUUACAUUCAAAUGUAGUAAGUCGAAUGAACGUAUUCAUCCAACACACCAAUCCGUCACACUUUUGGAUGUCAACGUCUGGACUCUAUGUGGCACGUUUGCAAGUUCACGACUGUGUAAAGUUUAGAUUCCUUGCAAUUUGAUCAGGUCCAUUCAACUAAACGGAAUCCAUCUUCAUCUAUUAAAUAUGCUCGUGCUUUAGUUCUUCCCCAAUGAUAAACUUAAGUUUUAUAGCUGAGAGCGUUACACACCAAUACUUCUGCACGUGACGUAGCUAGUUAUACUGAUGUCUGCCAAACCAAACAAAUUAGGCUAAAAAACCGUUUACCAGGUUCUGUAGGUGGCCAUGAUCAGUGUACUUUGAGCAGGAAUGCAUUUAUGAGAGAUCAUUGUUCUUAGAUAUAUUUCGAUUAGAUCCAUCUUCAUGACCCAGGUCACUUUAAGAAGCCAGCUUUUGACAUCGUGCAUAGAUGGGGGCACCUUGAUACUUGCUAGAGUGCUAACAGAUCUUCAUAACCCAUACUACUUAUUAGCUCCGAUGAGGCCGAAUCCUUUAUUCCAGCGCUAGACCUCAGUUGCAGUAUGUAUGAAGAGGCAUUCAUGUGUAGGCUUAGCUGACCUGAGCCUCUACACCAUAUAUUGAUGUAAUCUGAGUUUUGGAGCAAUCACGACCGACAAUACCACCAUGGAGUUCUUCAAGUUGCACCACCCGGCUGCAUAUCAGUUGCAGCUUACAACGCUUCGAACAUUCGUAGCAGCAGUACUAUUGCUGCUACUCUGUUGUCAUCCUGGUCGGUUACCUUCACAUUCCUACAGUGUCCAUGUUAUAAUCACAAAACCACUAGAAUAUGUGAGGACUUGACUUAAUUCUGUGGACUGGCUGAAUGCAAUUGUGAGAGAGCCUUCAAGUUUUUUUGUGAUACUUAUGAAGAUAACCGUAGCUCCAAUGUAUUUUGUGAUAAUAGAAGGGUUUGUUGAAGUUAAUCCAUAACCUCCAAAACUUUGGAAUCUCUGGAAUUCAUUUCCACUGCCACAUGUGGAAAAUUUAUGGAUUAUGCUGCAGUCCCAGCCAUUGAGGUGAAUGGCAUCAGAUUCAAGGAAAUCUUCAGUUUUGGGGAUUCUUAUCUUGACAUCGGGAACCGCGACCCUAAAAACUUUACCAGAACACCCGUAGGGCCUGUGAAUCAGGCAUGGAUCAAUCCUUAUGGCCUGACCAACCCUGCAGUUCCGACAGGACGAUUCUGUGAUGGUCAAGUAUUCUCUGAUAUUCUUGGUAAUUCGUAUUCUCUUGUCCCCUUUCUUUUGACUACAAUCAUCUAGUGUUGGAUCUAGUGAAUCGUUGCAUCAUUUGAUUUGCCAGUGGAAUGUUUUACCCUUGUCGAAUUGUUUGACAAGUAUGCUCAAGCAUUGGAAUGAUGACCGCUCCAGCUGACUACAUAGGUCUUCACCCACGCCCUUACAUACUUUACGAAGAGCGGCCGUCGACCCGGAAGGAAGAUGGCAUGAACUUCGCCGUGGGAGGAAGUGGAGUCAAAGACAAUUUAGGAUUUACGAAGACCCGAGAUCAGAUCGCUCAGUUGAAGACAGUGAUCAAUUCAGGAGUUUAUUCGGAAACGGUGUACAAAGAGUCGCUCAUUUUGUUCACAAUCUCUGGCAACGAUUACUAUGCAUUUCUGAGGAACAGCCAAGUCAUUGGACUUGCAGUAAUCUCGCAUUCCAUAUAUUCAUGCAAAUCAGUAGUAUACUUAGUCGUCGUGUUCUUGAAUCCCCGGGUCAAAGUAAGCUGAUUGUUGGAGACAAAUAUCCAUUGGUUUUGUGCCCUGUAUGUUCUGCAACCCUCUCUGCGGGAUCGAUCUCUAACGUGUUUGAGUUGUUAUACCUGUUCAUCUAGGAAAUUGGCAUUUUUAUCGUAGCGGUUGUGAAUCAACUAGUUGAAGACUUGAAAACAUUGUACAACAUGGGAUUCAGAAAUUUCGCCGUAUCUACACUCCCACCACUGGGCUGCUUGCCCGGUGUGUCGGCAUUUACGGGCAGCCUUUCAUGCUUAGAGGUUGCCAAUGUAGUUUCGACGACGCACAAUUCUUUGCUGAAGGCAAUGCUGACCAACAGUUCGUCCAUAUUAGCAGCAGCGAAUUUGAUAAUUCUAGAUAACGAGCUUGCCUUCAGAGAAAUACUGUUAAACCAGAUCCAAACCCGUAAGCCACCCUCGCGGUCCCUCCGCACCUCCUGGUCUUGCUAGAAAUCAUGCUUAAGCAGCAAAUUUUGAUGAGAUAACCCAUCAAGAUGGCCGCGAUGUGAGUCACGGCUGCAACUCCUUCAUUUACAUGAUUUAACCCCGUUCUAAAGAUUCCAACAUACCCUUAUCUCUCACGUGUUUCGUGUGCAGAAUUUACCUCUGGUUUGAAGGCUUGCUGCAAAGGAUCCGGGUCCUUUAACUUGUGUGGUGAUGUUGACAAAGCCACACGAACGCCGCUAUACACUUUAUGCAGCGCAAACACAAUUUCGACCUACUUCUUCUGGGACGAGGUGCACCCCACACAGGCUGGAUGGAGGUCCGUCUUCAACCUUUUCCUGGGGGGAGAGCCCUUUUCGUUCACGAAUGGGAAAAGCCUCGUCCAGUUUCUCAGUACCUGAGCAGACGGUAUUAGUAUUAUUGUCAAUAAAUAAGGAUGGUAUAGGUUUCAGUAGAACCCCAAUGAACAGGUGAAUAAAAUGUUCAUGUAGUGCAAGCACUUCAACUGCAUGGCAUCUAGCAAAAUGGAUCAGGGGGUCUCCGGCAUCAAACUGCCACCUCUUAGAGCCAAAUUCGUCCAAGAUCCAGCCUGCAAAAGGAUCCACUGACCUGUUGCUGUACAGGUUUUCUGAAUGUCCUGUUGAUGUUCCACUGAAGUAAAGAUACCGACCAUCAUAGAAAGACUUCACCAUGCAGAACUCGCUCUUCCCAAUUAGGUCAACUCCCCAGUCGAGGAACUGUGAACUGUAAAGUUGUCAUGGAAAGGAGUUCCAACAUGAUCCUGACAACAUGCAGGAUGCUAACCUGAAUGGGGGGGGGGGGAUCAUCGAGCAAACGCCACAGCUGCGGUAGCACUGUCGAGACCCCCGGUGUGAGUGAAUGAGUGAGUGAAAGAGUGAGUGAGUGAGUGAGUGAGCGAGCAAGUGAUGCAGGGCCAUUAAGAAGCAUGAGCAGCACCACAGGCCCACAAUGGAAUCCAGUCCAGUGCAGUCCAACCCAGUACUGAAUAGUCCAGCCCAGCUCAGUCAGGAAUUCCCCCAAUUCCAUUCCCUCCAGCUAUUAACAGUUCCCUCACUGUAGCAGUCCACCCCUCUCCUUUUCUUGAAGGUUCCAGUUUGAGUUCGAUCAAGGCGCCCCGCAUGGGUUUGCUUUUUGACAGUUGAGAGUGAAGCUUUCGUUAUCUGUUCACAUGUGUGUGUGUGUGUGUCUAUAAAUAUUUAUUGGUGUGUAAAUAUUAUCAAAGAGUAAUUUUUGCAUCUAUUUUUAAAAAAUAUUGUCAUUCAUGCAAUUUAAAUCUUUUCUGUGUGAAUCUAAAAACUUGGUUCCAGCUAUCAUUUUACUCCCAUUCCUGAUUUUUUUACAUUUAUAAAAAAUUAAUCCGAUUAUUAUGUAAAUUCAGAUCUCACUCACAGUUGUACUUAUAAUGUUCAAGGUAUAAACAUGUAUGAUUUUGAUGUGAUUAUUAAAAAUCUAACAUUAUAAUUAUUUUCAUAUUUUUAAUAAAUAAAAAUAAAAAUAAAGUUUAGUUGAAUCAAUCAUUUUUAAGUUAGAAUUAUAUAAACAAAUCAUGUUGCAAAUGUUUAUUGAUCGUGAUUACUUCGGUCAUUUAUUUGUACCGUUUCACAUAUUUUUUCAUUAAAAUUUGAAGUAAAUUUUUGUAUUGUGAACGCAAAUAUAUAUUUUUUAACGUGUGAUGUACUACUAGUCUGCAAUCAAAUGGCUAUUACAGUUUUCUUGACAUUCCUGUCUUUGCAAUAAAGCAAAUUCCUAAAUUGAUUCUUAGCCCUAGGGUGUUCUAUUUUCUAUUUUCUUAUUUUAAUAAUAGAUCAUCAAAAAUAUUCAACAAUAUAAAUAGUAAAUUAAAUGUUCAAUUUCAUGAAAAAAAACACGAGUAUUGCUACAUUAAUAAAGAAAUAGUUCUAAUUGUAAGAUUUUUGUGUCGAAAUCUGUAUAAAUAAUCCUGAAUUUUAUCAAUAUCUAUCUUUAAAUUUUAUCCAAAAAAACUAUAUAAGAUGUCCUAAUUUUUGGUACUGAAAGUGUAGAUGUAGAAACAUUUAUUGUGUUACAAAAAUAACCAUUUUAUUGAUUGGUUUUUGUCUACACAUGAUGUAUUAUUAUUGUAAUCAAACAAUUAUGGAAGUUGGAAAAUUAGGAUAACAAUAGAAAUAUAAUCUAAAAAAACUUGUAAAAUACUGUGGUUAGUUCUUUCUAAUAAUUACACUUCUACCCUGCAGAAAUACAGCUUGAAUUACAACAUUUAAAAUAAAUCAAUAAAAUCCUACAUAUUUGUUAACUGGAUAUAGUACAUAUGACUUGUGAAGUUUUAAAUUAUAAUGAGUUUAACUGAUAAUGGUGAGUCUUAUGCAAAAUAAAAAUUAUAUAUAUAUAUAUAUAUAUAUUAUAUAUUAUCAUGAUGAGUAAAUUAGAAGUAUACUCAUGUAUUAAUAAACAUUAUUUACAAUAUUUAUAAUUUUGAAACAAAUUGUCAUUUUGUUUGUCAUUUUGUUUGUUUGUUGGUUGGUUUGUUUGUUUGUGUUUUUAUUUUUUUAAAUGGAACAAUUUGAGGGAAGUUUCAAUGUCUGUAUUUUGUUUUUACAACUGUCUGCUUUUAUUUUAAUGAGUUUUCAGCUUCCAGAAUAAUUCAAGGAAUUUAUGCUUUCAAUUAACCACGGAAGCAUGAUUUUUCCUCCAUAAAUUGGUUGAAUAGAGCCAUACAUUAUUCUAAAAAUAUCCAUGAUCAAUAGACGUGUGCUUUUCUGCCUGGACAUUAAUUUUCUACAAACUGUUUAAAACUGUACAUCAAAGCAUGCUUUUUGAUAGUGUUUGACUUUUAUGAAUGUAAGUUAAACGAAUCGCAAAUAUUCUUCAAUGAUUAAGCUCUACCAAUCUGCCAUAAUUUUAAAAUAUCGAAAUGCCGAAAUGGUAACAAAUGACUUUAAAUAAUAUUAGAAAAUGACCACACUACAAUUCAUGCAUAACCAAGGCCGUAAGGAGUUGUUUGAUUCGUCACAGAAACUAGAACCUCCUUUGUAGAUAGUAUAAUAAACAUUAUAAGAUAGAGCUUAAAAAUAGCAAUGGAUUGCAAUGAAUCAUUACAAAAUGAAAAAACAAAUAAAAUGUCAUAUUUUUUAAAGCAAGUAGUAGAGGGCGCUGGGGGAUUAUCAAAAUAUCAUUAACCAAGAGAAGUGGCACCACCAAUACUCAAAAAACAAAUUGGGGGUGAGGCCCAUCAACGCUCUGGCGGUGAUUAAUUUUCUAUCAUAUAAUUAUUUAUAAUUUACAACCAUUUUGUUGGGGUUCCCCUGAGGAAACAUCUCCAUCGCCUUCCCUUAUUCCACAGGCAUCCAAAAAUCCUCAUACCCAAAUCCAUGUCAGCAUGCACACAAACACACACACAGCAUGGGUUUCAUUCAUCAAUCAAAGUCAAUAGUUUCAUCCAUCAUCCAUCCACCCACACACCCACCUGACUUUAGACAUGAGGGCUUGAGGAACCUUCAGUCCCUGGAGAUACAUAAGGCUGUAGGGGGACAUGAACCAGCAUCAACCUGGAGGCAACAUGGACCCACCCACAUAUGAGGAGGAGAGCCAUUUACCAGGUGAGGACAUGUUCCCUUACUCCUCUUCUCCGCCAAGGUGGAAAGAGAAUGACCGAGGCUCCCCGUCCUUAGUGCCGCCCAACCUCCAAGCGGCAACCGGAAGACCGAUGAAAUACGGGGAUGAAGAUGAACACGGAGCUGGCGCAGCCUGGGGAGCGGAGAUGCAGAUGAGCGGAAACACACACACACUCCGAUGGAUGAACGUUGGAACCGAGGAACUAAUGUGGUCGCAGGAGUCAUCAUCCCUCGAAACCUGUGCAGGCAGGCGGCGGAAACCCAGUGGAUGAAUGAAACCCGUUUAGGUGCAUCCUCGAAAUGGCCGCGGAUGAAUGAGGGGGGGUUGGGGGUGGAGUGGAUGAAUGAUGGGAAGGAUGAAGGGAGGAAGCACUGGUGGAGUGUCAGUGGCUUGCUUGGCCUGCUGUGCCUUGCUGGGGCGCGCAGGCCUGCAGGGUGGAGGGCUCACAGAACAUCCACCAAGGACGACGGAUGGGUUGUGAUUGCCACUCGUUGCGAUGGUUGCGUGGUGGGCUGGGCUGUGGAUACCGAUCUGUACACUCGAGCUGCGAUUUCCUAUCCCGACGUGUUUCGAUUCUCGAGUCAGGCUGGUUUCGGGCAGACAUUUGCAGCUUCGCUUUCAGCUCUUCUGAAUCCCCUCCUGAAUUUGGGGCAUCGAGGAAUCGCUUCAGGUACAAACUUUUCGGUUUGUUGGCAACAGAUUGCGACUGAUUUGAUAGCACGAGAGUGUGAAUUUCGUAAAUUUUUAGCAGCUGCUGUGUCGGUAGUACUGAAGGUGGAGCCAUGGGAGUGUUGGGUUUGGGAUAUUCUGUACCCUAAGAUGGUUGUGGCAUGAAGGUGGAACAUUUAGGGGAGGCCCAGCGUGGUUUCUGGAGAGUAUAGCCAACAACAGUGUAGUUUCUGUUGUUGGGUCUUGGGUUUGUGAUGGAGCUGGAAAGGGAUCUGAUGACUGGGGCCAGAGCUUGGAGAACUUGGUUAAUGGUGAUGUGUGUGAGUAGGUAGCGGAAAUGGUGAAGGGAGUGUGAGGUAGUGGCGUGUGAGGGAUAUUUAGGGUUUUUGUCGGAAUCCAGUAGAUUAGUGGACUACCGAUGGAAGGGGAACAGGGUGGAGCAGAAUCGGGAGGAGGAGGAGGAGGUAAUGGAAUACUCCGCAAGCCAACUCCUUCAAGACCGCAAGCCACGAUGGUUGUUGGAGCAGGGGAACAUGGGAUAGGUUUUAAACCGUUGGAGGGUUCUAUGUCGUCGAUGGUUUCAGGGUUCUUGGCGGACCAGGAGGGUGGAACGGAAGAAAACAGGUCAUUUUCGCAUUUGUUGGCAGGAGCAAUCAACUCGCCCACCCCUGAUAGUGUAGACAGAUCGGUAGAUGGCAGAUCCACGUCCAUGGAGUCUGGAACUAAUGGUGGUACUGGAAACCACCAAGCAGAAGCUACUGAUGGCAGAGGCUCCUCGCCAGGGACUGCAGGGGGGAGCUUUGCGGAGAGGCUCGCAGCUCGCGGAGCAGCUAAUAAAGUCGCUGAUAGUGGAGGUCAUCCCAGCUCUGGUCGACCUCCUAAUAAUAACCGGUUCAAGGUUCUGCAGCCGUCGCGCAUUCCUAUACCUCGCCAAGGGGCAUAUCUCACUAUUCCCCCUGGUCUCAGUCCCACUACUCUGUUCGAUUCUUCUCCAGUUCUCGUGUCUACGUCUCAGGUACAAUCCCCAGGACGUGACUACUGCUGGGAGGAUUUAUUCUAUUUACUUCAAAUUCAGCAACUUCAUGUUUCUUAGGGUUGUAUCUUCUAAUGGUGCUCCACCUCCUUUUUUAUUUGUUUUUGUUUUAUCUUUUUUUUUAAAAAUCUUUUUUUCGUUCCUAUUUCUUGUCGUUCCUACAGCAGCAGUGUUUUUAUUUUUAUUUUUUCUCUUUGUCUUUCUCUUCUGGUAAACUGGUCUUCAGUCAGAGCCAUCUCCGACAACUGGCACAUAUCCUAUGCCUCCUUUUUUCAACGGCUCACUCACCCGACCUGUUGCCAAAGUGGGAGAAGUUUCCAAGGAGCGUAGUGCCGAGCAGACUUUUGUUUUCAAGCCAUUUUUACAUUCAGUUCCGCGCCCUCCACUACCGCCUAGCUUGGUAAGGUUGCGCUUACAUAUCUGCUGAAUCCCAUCGGUCGUUCUGCAUGUCAAAUUCUUAUUUGUAAAUUCUGGUGACACUCUUCAGUAUUUGGUGUAACACACCUUCGUAUCGUUGUCAAUUUCCUCCUCUUAAUGUUGUCAAUCAAACCUCAGCUUCUCCGUUGUUAGUUACGUAGUUUUCUAUUUUCUCAUCACAAUUUUUCUUUGAUAACAAGGAUUGGAUAAACAGUCUUUUAGUUUCUUGUGGUACAUUUUCAGCUCCACCUGGGUUUUGGUUUUGAGGCAUCGGUACAGGAAUUGCAGGCCUUUCUUGUGCAUUUCUAGUAUAACGGUUGAAGUGUGGGUUGUUGUUUUUAUACUGCCCUAAAAUGAAAUAUCAUUGAGAUUAAUUUCCUUCGUUACUGACUUGACUACACCAAAGCAGUCAACCUUCGGUGGGACGUCACAGCAUCAACCUGUUGCUAUUCCUCAAUUGCAUGAAGCCCCUACACAGCAGCCGCAGCCUGUGACCUCCUCCUCGACUCUUUCUGCAUCAGUUGUGCCGCCAGCACCUCCCUUUCUGUCGCAAGCUCCUUCUUCCACAGCAUUUCCAGUUGCUGUUCCUGUGACCUUAGAUGUCCAGCCCUUGCAAGCUCGAGUUGUUUUGCAAUCCCAGUCGACAGCAAUUGAUUCUCAGCCUUCUCAACCUACUGCUUCUCAUAGUUCUCAAGGAUCUGAGCAGCAGGCACCUCCUGCUGCCGUGUCGACGAUCGUUGAUAGACCAUCAGAGGAUGGAUACAAUUGGCGAAAGUAUGGGCAAAAGCAUGUAAAGGGCAGCGAGUACCCACGAAGCUACUACAAGUGCACACAUAUCAACUGUCUCAUGAAGAAAAAGGUAGAGCGUUCACGUGAUGGACAAGUGACGGAAAUUAUUUAUAAGGGUGACCACAACCAUCCCAAGCCUCAACCAACUCGACGUUUAGCAUUGAGUGGCGCUCACCUUAUAUCUGACAGUUCAGGUGAGGAACAUCACAUGAUCCGCCUGUGUAAUUCCAAAUUCAGAAUUUUUUAGCCCGCAUCUUGAUAAAAAAAUAAAAAAAUAAAAAUUGCGAUCGAGGUACUUACACUUCGUCUAUUCCAGUUCCAGACUAGGUCUAAUUUUAUCCCCCCUCCCCCCACUCUCUGUCUCUGUCUCUCUCUCUCGUCUUCAGACAAUGGAUAGUAAAUUUGUCACUAUUGUCUUGGAAGUUUUGAGUGUCUUCUCUUGCCAAUGAAGUUUCGAUUCUACGAGAGCUGCUUUGCAAAGUAGGCAGCCCUUCAUUUCUAGCUUAGGUACCAGACCAAAGCAAUGAUAGUUCAGAUCUGAACCUAUGAUACAAAUUAAUCAGACGAAUCCUAGCUUAUCUCUCUACCAUGGUAUGGCUCUGUCAUGGUUAUGGCCAUGGCCAAACGCUUUGUCGACUCAGCCAAUGAUUCCUGUGUUGCUUUACAACCCGAACCGCUUGUAGGGCGUUUAAUGAUAAUGUAUGUAUCCCGUAAUAUUUUGUGUUAGAAGGCUUACACAUAUUUUUAAUAGUUAUUCCAGGAGCUGGAUUUGCUUCUAUGGUAAAGAAUGAAGGUGGAAAUACGGAGCGUGAUAGUUCAGAUGUGUCUAAAGGACGGACAGGAUCUGCAUCAGGGGCAACUGGUACCACUGACCCGUCCUCCCCUUCGACUAGCGACGACGAGGGUGGCGCAGGGAGUAAACAUUCCACUGAGGAUGGCGAUGACGAUGAGCCUGACUCGAAGCGCAGGUACUUUAGGCUUGUUUAUUUCACCAGAAAUUGAAUUCUUCAUUCCGUGGUGCUGUGCCGUGUUGUAGCGGGCAGCAGGGUAUCUUUUCAGAUGAACUAAUAAUGGAAUUACUGCAGAUACUCUUUGUCACGUUGUCAUGCUUCAGUUGUGAUGCAAAUUUUGUCUGUGAGGGUGAGAAGCUGAUUUUAGAAAAUUUCAAAAUUAGUGAAUUUCUUCUUGAGCGAUGGGGUUUCUGUCCAGUACUUUCGAGCUAUAUGUUCCCCCUGUCUUUUGUCUUGUGUGUCUAAUGUUAUCUACGCAGUUGUACAAUAUGGUUUUGUACUCACUCGUAUUCACUUGAAUUCUCUUUGGCUAAUUACAACAUGGUUAUUCCAUUUUAGCACAUAUUUAUCUUGGUUGUGGUUUAUUUUGUGCGCUUACAUGUUUGUUGCUAUUUUGGGUUUAGGAAAACUGACAAGAAGUCUAAGGAUCCAGUACCUCCUCCAAGAAUGAUUCGGGAACCGCGGGUAGUUGUGCAAACUACAAGUGACGUUGAUAUUCUGGACGAUGGUUACCGCUGGCGCAAAUAUGGCCAGAAAGUGGUGAAGGGGAAUCCUCAUCCUCGGUAUGUUCCCCUUCGGAUGUCAGUCUCGCUAGUAGUUAACCUGUUGUAUCUUAACACUUUCUCAUUCUCAUUUUUUACUUCUUUCUUCUCUCUGUUGUUCUUGUGCAUGUUGGAAUUAUUUAAAAACUGUUCACUGUCGUUUUGGUGGGAGGCAUGACUGCUGUCUUUUAAGGUCAAAGUUGGGCGUUUAAUUUAAGGACCUAGCUAAAUUGAUAUUUUCCAAAAGAAGUUCCUGUUCAUGAUGUUGAAGUCCUGACGUCUUGACAUUGAACUGUUGCCAUGACCUGUAGGAGCUACUAUAAGUGCACAAAUGUGGGUUGUCCGGUCCGGAAGCAUGUUGAGAGAGCCUCUAACGACCCGAAGGCGGUGAUUACUACCUACGAAGGGAAGCACAAUCAUGAUGUACCUGCUGCUCGUAAUGUUGGACAUGACGUGGCAAUGCAGACUGCAGCCCCUGUUGCUGCAACAGCUAGGUCAUUACAAGACCAAGGUAUUAGCUUUGGUAACAGCUUUGGGCAACCUCCUGAGGAUAGCGCCUCUAGGUGGAACAGGGGAUCUGGGGACGUGGAAUUGGGAAUGAGUGUUGGUCUGGGUCCCAGGGUACAGGGAGCUAGGGAACAGGGCCCUCUUGCCGCCACUGCAGUAAGCCUCGCGGCAUCUAUUGGGCAUCCCAGUUUCGAUGAUGCUAGGGCUCCUCUGCAAAGCAGAGAGCCCUUCAUGUCUGGCUUUGGUACCAGGCCAAAGCAGGAGCAACCAGAACCUACCACACAAACUAAUCUGAUGAAUUCUAACUCAUCUCUCCACCAUAGCAUGGCUCCUGUCUAGGUCGUGGUCAUGGCCAAACGCUUUGUCGAUUCUGCGCCUCUCUGCAAGCAUUCAAUGCUAGCCUUUAGGGUGCCAUGAUACUGCAAGAAAAUGGAGUGUUAACAUGUCCAUACCAACAUAUAUCUGUCAAGUAGUGGAGUAGGAAAGAAAAUCCCAACUUCCCUCCUCACUUCUAGUACCGUGGCUCACUUACAUGGAGCUUAGUAUGAUGCUGUGGUUAGGGACAAACUCUUUCUGGGGUAAGGUUGAUUGUCCCUUUUUGGACAUUUCUUUCCUGAUAGUUAUUUACUUCAUCUGCUGUUUGCAUUUUGUUGUGUCUGUAGAUGAUAUAUUAUUGUGACUACAGAGGGCUCGUGUACGCUGACUUUUAUCUUGGUGAUUGUAAGAGUAAAGUCGAGAGAUACUGAUGAAGCAAUCGGUUUAUCUAUAUUGCUCAUGGGGAGUUACAAACCUGGGUUAGUGAUGUUUGCGUAGGUGAGAGCUUCGAGGACUGUAGUACUGUACAUUACUGAGUGGCUUGUUAUCACACACAGUGGCUGCCGAAAACUUAUAAUUAGUGAAACUUGCAUAGGAUAGUAUGCCUUGCUCCACCGUUAAGGUAUGUAGAGUUCUUUUAUGCGUGCUUUUUCUCAGAAGGCCCCGAUCGAGUGCGACUUGGUUUGGGUAAUCUUGAGGUGUUUUCCGUCAGAUUCAGGUAAACAAUAAAGUUUUGGCGAUCGCCUGUGCCAGCAAACUCAUAUUUACUGUUUAUGUUAGAUUCUUACCCGCCGUAGUUGAUGAAUUGCAGGAUUCUUUAUUUGCGUCACUCCAUGUAUUUCAUAUUUUUAAGAGAUGCGUAAGGCUUUGGUUGUGUUUCAGUUAACCUUCAUUGCUUGUUUAUAUUUCUGGAUUUGGUACUCAAUUAUUCUAUGUGAGUUGAUUGCGCUGGUGGAAGGUAUUGCUGGAGUGCAAUCUUGGUGUUGCGGUUGACGACUCGUAACAUGCUAGGAACAAGCAACGAACUGACUCAAAAAAAAUCCUUGUCAACUAGAAAUUCGUGGUUGCUAACCUGAAGGUUGAAGCCAUGGAGAAUUAUUGUACCAACUGUAACAAUAACAGGGAUACGGUCGGUAAAUCUGGACUACAAUGUUUACAACCGUGCACCGUGCUAGGAAAUUCGAAGCUAAUCCAAGGCUUCAGAUUUAAGUCGUCGUCACUGGUGUCACCAUCAUCAGCUCUAACCGUUUGUGAAAAUCCUUUCUUUCGGGUUGGUCUGCCCAAUUUGGACUUCCAGGUGGUGCGUUUUUCCUUGAAUAUAAUCAGGUGAGUCUUGAAUCAGGAAGUGGGAUUGUCAUGCUAUGUGACGAGUCUCUGCAUGCACAGGGUAAUCUGCUGGCAGUUGGGGUGACGUCAGCAAAACCUAAUGCCCAAAUUACCAAUUGAAGGUCGAAGCUUUAGGAUAAAUCUGGACACUUUUUUUUUUCAAAAAAAUAUAUCACGUGCAGCUCAAUUCGAGUUAAGAUGAUGUCAAAACAAAAAGUUACUUGUUGAUAAUGAACAGCUCAUGAUACUCGUUCUUUGGUCCUUAUUUCUCGUCCUCUGGGAGCAAUUUUCGAACUGUUGCGUAGUUAUUGGAUUCGAAUCACAGUUAUCGCUGUUUUGUUAUUUUUAUUUUUAUUUUUAAAAAUCUGAAGGCAUUCUAAUGUGAAACAAAAUUUAGUUUUCCUAUUACUGUCUAUUUGGUUGGCAUUCAAUAUUCUUACGUAAUCAAUUGGAUGCAAACAAAUUUUCAUUGGAGUUUGGAAUUGAUUCGCUUGUAUCCAACCGGGACACUUGGCUCUCGAUCACGGAGAUACAAAAAACAAAUGGAAUGGGAUUCUCCACCAUGAAGAGCAACGUCAAGGGGUGCAAUCCAGAACAGGUGGGCCAAGGAGCGUGUCAGCCAAUGGAGGUACAAGGUUUGGAUAAAACUGCAGAUAUGGCGAUCGCCGGAGCCAUUCGUUUGGCUUCGUCCCUUCUUCAUCUUCACUUCUCGAUCGCUUACCUUUGCGCAUUGAAGCAACGAUUGCCUUUUCCGUAUCUAUUGGCUUAGCUACAGCAUUCGCUCGAAAGAGAGGGAGUGACAGAAAGAGAGGCAGAUAGAGAGGGGAAUAGUGCUAGACAUAGGCAUCGCAGCAAUGGCGUGCAUAGCGGCUGUGUCGUCUGGACUUGUCGUCAAAGGUGCCUCCCUGGCUUCAGCCAAAAGUGGCGUCUCUGGUGCGUCCGUCACCGUUGCUGCUCCCUGCGUCGGCCCCGUUGCAUCCAGGAGUGUCACCGUGAGAGCCUCUAAGGGUGAAGAGAGUGAGAUCGUGAGUCGUCGAACGGCGCUUGCUUUGGUUGCCGGUGUCGUUGCCGCUGGAGCCAGGAUCGCACCCGCCAAUGCUGCCUACGGUGAAAGUGGUAAGUGAUGAUCCGUGUGGUAAUGGUUUUUGCCUUAGAUCGAAUGGAAAGUGGUGUCGAUGUUGCUUCGCAUUGAUGGUAAUUUCAUGUACAUAGGUUUGUGUGCAUGAGCGUACGCUUGUAUUGAUUUGCAUGGAAAAUUGACUGCACAAGUGACUGCUUUUGGUCGGCAGCCAAUGUGUUCGGUGCUCCCAAGCAAUCCACUGGCUUCAACCCCUACAGCGGCAAUGGAUUCUCUCUGGAGAUUCCGUCUAAGUGGAACCCCAGCAAGGAAAAAGAGUUUCCCGGAACAGUGUUGAGAUAUGAGGACAACUUUGAUUCCACCACUAACUUGUUUGUGUCCAUUACCCCUGCAACCAAGGGAAGCAUCACUGAAUACGGCCCUCCAGAGAAAUUCUUGGAUGAGGUUUGCCGCUGAGAUACCCAGACUUGUGCUUGGUCAAUUGACAAUCCUACAUUUUUAUUCCUUUGUCGUACCUACGCUUGACACACUUGCCACUCUAGCAAUUAGGCCUAUGACAGGGAAAUGUUUUAGAUCCUGAUAGGUCUAGCAUGGUGUGGUCCCUCUGCAUACGUUCUUGGCUGGAAGCAAAUUCCGACAGCUCAUGUGGUAGGGCUCUUCGCCAAUGCAAUUUCCGAAGCGUACACUCAGUACUUUCUUGUACUCGCAACCGCAGGUCUCUUACCUUUUCGGAAAGCAAGCUUACAGUGGUAAGACCGCUUCCGAGGGAGGCUUUGAGAACAACGCCGUUGCAACUGCAGCAGUACUUGAAGCUAACUCAAUGGAGGUGAAUGGAAGACCUUACUACAAGCUCAGCGUACUCACACGUACUGCUGAUGGAGACGAAGGAGGCAAGCAUCAGUUGAUCGCCGCUACCGUGAAGGACGGGAACUUGUACUUGUUUAAGGCCCAAGCUGGUGAUAAGAGAUGGUUCAAGGGUGUGAAGAAAUUCGUGGAGGGAUCAUGGAACUCAUUCACCGUGGCUUAGAUUGUAAACCUGACGUCCCAUGUAGCAUGAUCAAAUAUUGUCAAUAUAUUAUUGUAACACUGGAACCCUACCGGAGCGUUGUAAAAACUAUGCAGGGAUUGAUGUGUACAAGAUUUGUAUUCCUCUCUUCCUGCACUAUCGUUUCGGUUCCAUCCCUCAUAACAUGAAGAACGGGUUGUUCAAAACGAGCUUGGAUUCUUCACUGCCGAGCGACGAGAAGAAUUCAUCCUAAUUGCCGAUAUGUUUGUGUGCUCAUACACCCAAUAUUCUAUUACCACAUCCCAGAAGAUUGUGGCAAAUAUUUUUGUUUCUACUUCGACAACCUAAAUUAUUUAAAUACGUUACUAUCCUGCUGACGCUGUGACACGCACUAUCUGUCUGAUUGAGGUUCGUCACCUCUGUAGUACGCCACAGAUUCCUGAUAUGCAUUAUGCAGAAAAUGCUGUGAACCGAACGCUAUUUAAUAAGACAACUACUCACAAGCCACAGAACCAUUCUGCACUGUGGAACGUGUGAUGGAGUAGUCACAGCUGAUCGGACACUCUCCCUCCAAGACUGAACUAGGUUACGAGGGAAGAAAACGUUCACUGUCCAACUGCAACUGCUCAUUCCGCGUGAAACCUGUGCAUUGAAGCGCUCGCCAUCUUAUCUACCGAUGUCCACGCAGAUAGAGGCAGAGGCAUGUGCAAGCUGCUCCCUGUCGCAACUUCCCUGCAUUGACAGACAUGGUAUGUCGCUAUGAAACACCUCCGUGAGCUCUUCAUGUGAUUAUGUAACCAGUGUGCUCUGGCACUUGGAUCCAAUGUGUUGAAGCCCUGAGGGAGAAACAAAAAUUCGUGUUUUCGCACACACCCUUCACUCUUUUUCUCAAUUUUCAUGAAAGAAAUGGUUUCGCAAGUUUGCACGUCAGUGUGAUUCCACAGUAAGAAUUCCUGUUAUAAUGGACUGUUGGUUGUGUGGCAAGUAAACCAGAACCUUGGUUGUAUGUGAUGGGUAUUAAACUGUAUAUGUCACGUUUGUUUUCGUUUUCUUUUACGGUUUAUUGGUUCCUCAUGCAUUAGCUCAUUGGUGUACACUCUAUAUAUAUUUUAUUGCAGAGCGAAUAAUCAUUCGGUGGCACUUGUUGAUUCACGAGACAACUUGCAAGUAUUUUAAACUAAAACUCACACUUCCAAAUUUGCACUUGACUAUCAUUGUCUCUGGAAUAAUGCGCAUCUAAGGUUCUCAUCAAUGUGAUGUGUUUUCUUUUAAGACUCAAAUCCACAUUUAUAGUCGUUUUCAUGUAGUACAAAAUUAUUUUAGUUUUUUUUUUAUUGUAUUAUGUUAGAUAUAUCUAUAUAUAAGCACAUAUAAACAUACAUAAUACAUUCAUUGCAAAUUUAAACUUAGAUUUUUGUGCCUACUAUAGUAUGUUAAUAAUGUGAUCUCUAUUCAAUAUAUAAGGUUUAUAAUAUUCAUUAAAUUAUACUUCCAUUAAUUAUUUUUUUUGUUUUUGCCCACAAAAGACAAAAAUGUUAGAGUACUAUGAUUUGUGAAAGAUAUGUUUUUGCCGACAAACUAAUGUUUCGCCCAUAAAGACUAAACAUUAGUUAUUUUUUAUACAUAAAAAAGAGAUGAUAGAUUAUAAAAUCUUAAUGAAUAGAUAGCUAUUGAGUAUUAUUUUAUGUGAUAGUUAGCUUGAAAGAUUGUAUCAACAAUAAUAACCAAACCAAAGUCUUUUUUUGAAAUCAAAAGCCUAGAAAUUAUUUUAAAAAAUAUUCAAAGUAUUAUCAUAUUUUUUAUUAUAAAAUAUCUAAUAUAUAUAUAUAUAUAUAUAUAUAUAUAUAUCAUUAUUACCAUUAUUUUUAAUAUAUAUCUUUUUAAUAUAGUAUUUCUUUAAUAAGUAUUUAUUUUAAAAUACUAUAAAAUUUAAACUUUUAAAUAAUAUUUUUGCUUAUAAUACUAUAUUUCUAUAAUUUCAAAAAUUAUUUUUAUUACAAAAAAAUCAACUAUUAUGUAUAAAGAUAUCUUACUAUGGAUAAUUAAACCAAGUUUUUAAUUUAUGCAAUUCUUGAAGCUCUUUUUCUAUAUUAAUUUGUUAUUUAUAUUUCUUGUUGUUGCAACUACAUUAUCUUUUUUUUUUCUAUAAAAAUUAAACUUCUUUUAAUACAAUCUUAUUUUUCAUAUAUAGAUUUAUUCAUUUAGACUAAAUUUUAUAAUACAUUGCCAUCACAAUUCUACCAAAUUAUAUUAUUAUUAUUAUUUUGUUACUUCUAUUUGAUACCAAUUAUUACAAUAUAUAUAUAUAUAUAUAUAUAUAUAUAUAUAUAUAUAUAUAUAUAUUGUAAUUAUAUAUACCUAAUUAAGCCAACAUAUAAUUUAGAUAGGAUAUGCUUGCAAUAGGUUAAAUUUUACAAUUACAAAAGUUUGAAUGUGCUUCUUAGAAUACAAUUGCUCCAAAAACUAUGUGGAUGCAACUUAGAUAUAAUCCAUAUAAGAAUCACAUACUACUGUUACUAUAGAAAGGAUUCUAUUAGGUGAGUUAGCUUGAAAUAUGGUUGAAACAAUUCAAAAAGCAAUGGCUCAAUUAUGACUCUAAGACUAGACACUACUCACUUUGGAUUAAUGUGUGAAGUAUGCUUAUUACUACAAUUUCAAUGAGAUCUUUAAAACUCAAUUAGUACCAUAAAAAAGAUAGAAUAAGUCUUAAGAAGAACAUAUUCACAACAUAUCUUAGUCAAACCUAUAUAGGAGGGAGUGGAGAGAGGGGGAUGAAAGGAGAAAAAGACAAGAAGGAUCACCAAUAUAGCAUACAUGUUCUCCAUUGCAUCUCAAAGAUGUUAGAUACUACAUGAAUGUGAGACCAAAUAUGAUGAAUCUUUAAUGGCAAGCUUUGGCUAUCACCAAAAGAAGUUGAGAGGAAGUCAUGCUUUUGGAGAUGGAAGCCACAAGUUGGAGUGCGCAAUGUAGGAGAUAUGGAUCAUAAUAAGAUUUUAUAGAAGAUGAUUAUUUUUAAAAAAAAAACUGUUAUUGGUGUAGAUGGAUUUGAGUGCAAGUGUGUUAAGACUAAACAAUGUUGGUAUUUCUUGUGAGAAAAAUUAAGGUGGAAGUUGUAUUACUUGUAAAGUUACAUAUAGGUGGAUUUGUGAAUAUACUAACAUUAAACAAGUAUUUGUAUAUUUGCUGCAAUAUUGUGGAGGGUUGUCUUGAGGUAGUCAUAUUAGUUGCAACUUGUAUUUAAAUGUUGUUUUGAUUGAGUUGAUUUUUUUUGUGGAAAAAAAAAAAAAAACAAAUCUUAGUACUCUCACGUUAUUAUAUCUAUUGAAGGAAUUGGAGUUGUCAAUUGAAAAGGGAUAGAGCUUUAGAAUGGUAUUAUUGGGAUAUUAGAACUUACUACUAAUUUGCAUAGAUCAAACUAUAUAUAAUCUAAUAAACAAGAGAAAAAGAUGUAAGUAAUUUACUUCAAAGUUGAAGCUAUAUAUAGUGGAGAUCACACAAAGGACUCUAAUUUUAUUAUAGAAAAUACUUGUUAUACAACAUAACAAUAUUAAUAUGAAAAUUGAAUAAAAUAACUCUCCCUUUAUUUAAUUUUUCCUUUUCUUUAGAAUUCUCCAUGGAGAUUGUUAUAAAAUUGAGGGAGCAAAGCAUGCCAAAAUAUUUUUUAAUAUAAGACAAAUAUUAAUAUAUAAAUAAUAGCAUCUUGUAAUUUGAGCUUCCUUAUAAUAGAUUUUAUAAUAGUCAAUUAAUUUUAUUUUUCAAUAAUGGCUAUAUUUGAUGGAAGAUUAGUAGUAGCCAUAUGUGGUUAAAUUAAAAAACAUUUAUUUGCAUCAAUGCUUAUUGACAAGAGAUAUGUACAACUUUAUUUACAAAAAUCUAAUAGAUAAGAAAGUGAUAUGUAAUGAUUUCCAAUUGCGAACUUGCUUGGUAGUUUUGAAUAGAUGUAAUUUUCCUAUACGACAUAUCUUUAGCAAUAGUGAAAUAAACAUAUGUUAAGCAUUGAUAAUAAUAUGGAUCCUUGCUACUAUGAUUGUGCAAGUAGAAAGUGGUGGAAAAAGCAUCAUCAAGACUACUAAGAAAUAUUCACAAAAAUUUAUUUCAAAAGAAAGAAUAUGAAAAAGGUUCUUUGGUAUUGCAUGUUGUAUAUCUAAUAAGUAUUUUGUGCAACUAGGAUUCAUGAAUAUGAUCUAUUUGCAAUAUGGAUUUUGUCCAAGAUUGAACUUUUAAAGGAGCUUUUAAUGGAGGAUGUCAAAAUAGCUCUUAUUGGAUAAUUCAAUAGUUUUAAACAAGAGGUUGUUAUUUUAGACGUAUUCAAAUUGUACGGAAUUGCAUAAAUUAAGAGAAAAAGUUGUUAAAGACAUCACUUUGUCGAAUACCUAAAACAUAUUGAGAAAGAAGAAUUUACAAAAAAGAUUGUAGAAGUUAAAAAAUUAUAAUUAAAAAAUAUAAAUAAUAAGAAGAAGCUUCUAUUUAAGUCUAGAAAUAAAUUAAUUUGAAAAUUAAAGAGUUCACUUUAUUCAAAGAAGAAUCAAAUAUCUACAACAAUGGCAGCUUGUAUUUGAGUUUGGCAAGUCUUUGGUCUGAGGUCGGAUUUGGAUUCUACUAGGUGGUAUUCCAUGUUUUGAAGGAAGAAGAAGGUGAAUAAAGAUCAGAAUAUUGAAUCUAAAAUUGUAGCUUAAGUUGCACAUUUUUCAAUGAUUUAAUCAUAUUAGAAGCUAGUUUGAAUUAGAUAUGUAAGAAAGAAAUUUUUGUGUUAUGUAAAAAUUAAUAUAGGAAUGUAUUAAAUAUCUAGUUGUAAAAAGGUUUGUUCUUACUUUAAAGUUGGAUUUACAAUCUAAAAAAUUCAAUACAUAAGGUAUUUAGAAAUACCUUAGUAAUCUUAUACAAUCUAAAAAACCUUACUUGAAUAUAUUGAAUUUUAAAUAAAAUUAAAAUAGUCUUUAAAAAAAUCUAAUUUAAACUUUAGAGAAAUAAAAAGAAUUCUUUAAUAAAUAAAAAAAAUACUGUAAAAAUUACAAAAAAACUUUAAAAAAUCAUAAGAAAUAAGUUGUUGAAAACAAGUACAUAAAGUAUAAAGUGGUUCUAAGCUACAAAUUAGGAAAACAAAUAAUUGCCAUCUACUUGGAUAUUUGCCAUCUUUCUUUUCGAAUCUCAAAGAAAAAUUUCAACUAUAAUAUUUUAUUUUUAAAAUUUCUAAGACCGUAGCUUACUUGAACCUCACUUAUAUUUAGUUUCACUACCUAAUUGAGCUUAAAAUACACAAUAUAGAUUCAGUACAAAUAUAUUUAUGAUUCUACCAAAUUACACCUAUAAAUCUGCUAUAAAAUUUAUAAAAUUUAGUAAACUAUAAUAUUUUUCUUAUUCAAUACAAAAAAAGUUAUCUGAAAUAACAUUGACUUUAUAAAGCUCUUACAAAGUUAUAUGCACUCAAAUCCUUCAAAUCCAAUUUUUAUGAAAAUCUUAUCAAGUUUUUCUUCAUAACUAACAAUUCAAUCAACAAACAAAGCCUCAUUUGCCAUACAUGUGUACUUUUUGUCUCUAAGUUUAAAAAUAAUCCUAGUUCAUAACUAGCCAUCUAUGGAUAUCAAUCUUAGAUUUAUCUAAGUAUUCUUUAUUGAUUCCUAGUGUUUAUUUCUACCUAAAGAUGUUAAUUAUACUAUUAUUUCUAAUCUACCUUAUUUUGUCAUGUUUAUGCUUCACAAAGGAAAUAAAAGCCUAUUUUAUAAAAAAAAUAAUAUUAAUUCUUAUGAAUUUUAGUAGUUCCUUAAGUAAUAUUUAUGAUUCUAAAGUAGUUGAGUAUUUGUUAUAUUUAAAAAUAAUUUCUUCUAUAAUAUAAUAUUUUAUUCUCUCUUUUAUUGAAUAACUAUGUUACAAUAAAACAUUAUAGCUUGUUAAUUGAAAUUGAUUAUAUUUUUGUAGAAAAAAUCUAUCAACUCUAUUGAUUAGAAGGAUGGUAGGAAGACCUCACUAUAGCAUUCUUAAAGAGUAUUUGUAGAUGAAUUGUUCUUUAUUAAAUUAAAAUUAUACUAUCUUUGUAAAGGUACAAAAAAAAAAAAAAAUCAAAUAAGAUCAAUUUUUAAGAUUUUGCACAACUAUACUAACAAAUAUUCGUCACAAAGAUUUGGAGCUUGUCAUUGACGUAUCCUUGGAUUAGAAUAAUGACCUACUGAUACUUAACUUGGCAUCAAAUUGCAAUUGAUACUUACCUUUGCAAGAUCCCAAUUCAACCUUAUAAUUAAGAUUAUUUGUGGUUGGUAUGAAUUGUAUAGUACCAUGGUCUUUAUGACUUGAAAAGAAUCAAGGUGGAUCUCUUGGCAAAAAUAAAGACUAAUCAAAGCUCUAUUCUAAGAUAUAGAAAUCUCUUAAGGACUUUUUACUCAAGAAGAAUGGCUGCCAAGUUAGCAUAAUACAAGAAAGCAAUAGAAAAUUAAUCAAGAGCUAAGAGACUUGGCAAGACGUUUUUCAUUUGGAAAAAAAAAUACUAUAGCAAGAUAUGAGCCUUUAUACCAAAAUCCAUCACCUAUUAAAUCUUAGAAUUGAAAUCAUUAAAGGAGGGAACACGAGCAUUCUUAAUACGCCUUAGCACUCCUUAAAGCCAUUUAAAAACUCUUCUUAAAAUUACAAUACUCACAAUAAUAUCCUCUAACUAGGGCAUAUUAUUCUUAUAAUUAAUCUAAUCAUAUCUAUUAUUAAGCUUACAAAUUUUGAUGUGACUUAUUAAUUUAUUAUACUUAAUUUCGAAAUUAAUAAAUACUUAUAAAGUAUAAAUAAAUUAAAAUAAUAUUUCAUAUAAUAAAUUUUAAUUAAUUAAAUAUUUUAUAUAUUUUUAUUAUAUUUCAUAUAAUAUAAGGCUAUUAUUAUUAUUAUUAUUAUUAUUACUAUUAUUAUUAUUAUUAUUAUUAUUAUUAUUAUUAUUAUUAUUAUUAUUAUUAUUAUUAUAUAUUAUUUAAAAAAUACUAUUCUUAAAAUUUUAAUAAAUUCACUUCUAUAUUUUAUAAUUUUUUAAUAAUAUUUUAUAAAUUAUCUAUCUUAAUUAAAAAUUUUACAAAAGAUUUGAAAAUUCAAUAUCAUAAAAUAAUUUAAAAUAAUUGAAUUUAAAAUUUUGAGAUUUCUAAACAAUAUUAUAAUACAAAUUAUAAUUAUUUUAAUUUAUAUAGUAUUAGAAAAUAUUUAUACUUAAGUUUUACUUAAUUCUUGUAACAUAAUAUAUAUCAUGUUACAAGAAAAAUACCAUUUUAAUUGUAAUCUUGCACAAGAUUUUAAUUUUUUAAAAUUUUACUAUAAAUUAAAUUAUAAUAAAAAUCAGUUAAAUCGUAUUUCACAAAAAAACUAAUUAUUAAAUUUUUAAUGAUUUUAUUUGAAAAUAAAUUUUAUUCAUAUAUAAAUGGUAUAUAUAUAUAUAUAUAUAUAUAUAUAUAUAUAUAUAUAUAUGUAUAUAUAUAUAUAUCAUCUAUAACAUAUAAUGUAAAUUUAUAAUAAAAACUAUAAUUUUAUUUUAGUAAUGAAUACAUAAGAUAAUUACUUAUAAAAAAGUAAUAAAAGAUUUUGGUACAUUGAAGAUUAAAAAAUUUAAAAAUCUUUGGUAGUUUAUUUUUUUUUAAUUUUAAACAAUGAAAAAUUAAAUUCUACUUUAAGUUUUUUAAAAAAUAAAAAAUACUUUUGAUUGAAAAAUUAUAAAAAUAUAUAUAAAUAUCAUAAUUUUUUUUCUAAUUUUUCAAAAUUAAUAUACAAGAAAUAAUAAGCUUAUGUUUUAAUAUCUUUAAGCUUUUAUACAAGCUUCAAUUCAUGAAAUAAUUACUUAAUUUUUUUAACAAUUUCAUUAAAGAUAGAAAAAACCAUAGAGUGUUUAUAUAUAUAUAUAUAUAUAUAUAUAUAUAUAUUUAUAUAUAUAUGAUUAUAGCUUAUAUAUUCUAAUAAGUACUUUAAUUUUUAUUAUAAUAAGAAGGAUAAAAAAAUAAAAAAAUAUAGCUAAUUUAUUUAUAAAUCUUAUACAAGCCUUUGUAGAAAAUAAUAUUUUAAAAUUCCUCUACAUCAAAAUAAAAUUUUAAUCUAGCUAAAUUCAAUAAAAUUCAUAUUUAUAAAUUUAUAAUUAUUUUUUGAAAUAUUAUUUUUUUGUAAAAUAUUUUUUUUAUAGAAAAAUAUUAAUAUUUUUUUGGAAAUAUUCUUAAAAUACUAUUUAUAAUAAUCUUCAAUAACUAGCAUGUGUAAUGUACAAUCCAAAUAAUUAUUUUUACACAAACCCUUCUUUGUAUUAAUAGUAAAUUUAUUAAUUAGUAAUAUAUUUAUGAAAAGAAUCAUUUUCAUAAAAAUUAUUUUGGUUGUAAUCCACAACUAAAGCUCUGAAUUUAAUAAAACAAAGUAGUGGAAAGUAUUAUAUUUUAGUUAUAUUUGUAGAUUUUUCAUAUUUUUUAAAUUUUAUCACUUUCAUUUUGGCACUAUCAAUGUUAAAGAUAUUUAUUUACUAUAAGGUAUCGACUAAAUAAAUAUAUAAAUAUUUUUAUAUUUCAUUAAUAUUAUCUUGUAUUACCAAAAAAUAUUUAAAACCAUAUUUUAAAUAUUUUUUUAUUAUAUUUCGGAUUUUUUAUAUAAUUACUGGAUGUUUUCAUAUUUCUAGAAGAAAAAGUUUUAAAUCAUUAGAAGUCAAAGAAAAGGCCAAUAUUUUAGUAUUAAAUAAUUUUCUAACUUAUUGAUUAGAAUAUAAUUGUUUAUAAAAUUUUAAUUUUUGGAAGUUACUUUUGUAUCAUAAUUUAAUUGUGUGUAAUUUUUUAAAAUUAAUAUUUGCUUUCAUAGAAUCAUAAAUAUAUUAAAAAUGAUUCUAAUGAUUUAAAACUUCUAAUGAUUUAAAACUUCUAAUGAUUUAGUAUAAUCUAAAGCAAUAUCUUUAGAUUUUAGAAUUGGUUUUUUACUCACAAUCUUCUUUUUAUGUCAUAUGGAGCAUUCUAAUGUUUUUUUUUAUUUUAUUUUAUUUUAUUUUAUUUUUUAUAUUAGAGUUUUAUUAUAUAACUUUUUUAAAGAAAAAUAUGUAAUAUAAUUUUUUAUUAUUAUUUAAUUAUAAUAUUUAAAAUGAUUAAAUAAGUUUCUUUAAAAUUUUAUUUGUAUUAUUGAAACUAUCAUAUCGUGUAUAAAUUGCCAAUUCAAGAUUUAUAAAAUCAUUUAUAGAAAGAUAAUAAAUAGUACAAUUUUAAGAAUGUUCUUAACACUUUUGUCCAUCUUUGCCUUCAAGAAAUGAAAGACAACUAAAAAUACAUUUUUAAUACAAAGAAUUGUGCGCCUUGCCUUACCAUCAAGUAUUAUAGGUACUUUAUAUAAAAAAUAAUUUAGUAUAAUCUAAAGCAAUAUUGAGUUUUAAUUAUAAAAUAAUUUAUACAUCUAUAAACCAUAUUGUGAUAUUAUAUGAAGUCUUGCUUGAGAAUGCACUGGAUACUUGGUUAUAAAAGGCAAAAUAGAAAUUGCAACUAGGUUCCAAAAAUCUUAAUAAAAUCCUAAAUAAAUUCCAAUUAAAGCUUCAUAAUCUUAAUCAAAACUUGAUCAAAU
rnacentral:lncRNA from 1 species